GCAAUGAGAUUUGACAAUCAAUAGGGAGCUAUAGAGGAGAUAUUACAAUAUGCUCUAUUGCGAGCUCAGAAUCAUGCUAUAGCCUUGAGCACUACACAAGCGCUCGAAAUUAGACAUUGUACAAGGGAUAACAAAGUUUCGCCUUAUUGAAACACACAAACCCCCAAACUAGGAAGAAAAAACAAAGGCCAAGGAAAACUUGAACAUGAAUCAUGCGGCAGUAGUACUGGCAUACAAUGGUGACGGUGCUGGUGUGGCUGUCAUGGAAAAAAAAACAUACUCAAUGGAAGAGUUAUUUUUGAGGAAGGAGAGCCAAGUAUACUGCGAUGAAGGUGGAGGCAACUUUGAUGUUAUUAACUACGUUGUGGUGGUGGAGGGUAACGAGGGCUACUAUAGGUGUGUGGUGGUGGUAAUAUUUUUGGUGGUGGAGGAAGACUAGGAUGACCGGCAUCAUUGACUUUUGGUGGUGGUGGUCUUGGAGGAGGAGGAGGAGAUUUUGGAAUAGGCUUAAAUGGUGGUAAUAUCGGAUGAAUAAUACGAUUGUUUUUUGGAGAUGGUGGUGGUGGUGUUCGACGUCGUUGUAACGAGGCAUUAACCAUGCAACUGGUUUGUGAUAGUAUCAUCCCAUGAAAAAUGAUGAAUGCCAACAAGUAGGAAUAGAUUUCCAUUGCUAUUGUGGCUGCCUGCCUGUGUCGAAACUCAAGAUGAUUGUGCUUUUAUAGGAAGAUGAUCAGAGAGCGUGCGAAUGAUUUCUACUGUACUCUGAAGCCUCAAGUUGUCACGCCUUAGAAAAUUCAAAAGUUGAGACGUCGAAGACUUACUAUUCCUAUCUAUUUCGUUGAGAUUUUUUUGGCAAAAGAACCCAAAAACAAAAUCGUUUUUCCCUUCCAAUGAAUUCUAAUUUCCCUCUUCUUUUUCGUGAUAAAUGACAAGGUAAUCAUAAGAGUGAUGCCGAGUAAUGCAACUAUAGGAUGUAUAUGGGAAAUUAAUUAGUUUACCAAAUGGAUAUUUCAAAUAAGGUAAUAUAAUAUAUCAGAAAUAGUUAGCACUAACCUAUGUACUCUCACUCUACAGUUCGGGUAAAUGUUUUUUGACAAAUUAAACAAAUGCAAGCGUUGGCAAAACAAAUUAUAAUUAUGAAUAGAAAAGUUAUUGUAUAUGAUUAAUAAAAUAAUUUGAGAAUUAUAUAUAUCAAGAAAUGAUAAAACAAAUUUAAUGCUAACCAAAAUCUGAGCCAGUAAAUUGAGAUUAUGAUGAUGCGCAUUAAGAUACUAAUAAUUGCAUCAAUAAUAGGGUUCUCUAAUUUUUUUAAUUUAAUUAUAUAAUAUUAAAAUUAUUUCUCCAGAGAAAAUUAAUUAUUUCAACUCUAUUAUAACGAACUUCCUAGAAUAAUUCCAUAUUUUCUUUUUAUCUUUUUUUUAAAAAAAAACUUUAUGGCUAGUAUAAGAUCAGUAAAAGCAUGUCUUAACUUUUAAAAAACAUUUAACAUGACAACUUUUAAAAAAAUUAUUGAGACGCCGCCAAAUUGGAUUGACCUUAGUCACCUCGCGACUUGGGUAAUGGAUUCCACUAGAUUUAAUAACUUUAUUGUUUUUGUAAACUAUUCUAUUUUAUUAUAUGAUAAAAAUAGAUGCUCACAAAAUCAAGUACCAAAUAUAAAAUAAAUCUUUAUUUUAAACUAUGAUAACCUUAAAAAAACAAACAAAAAUAAAUCAUGAUAUAUGUUUCCCAACUAAUCCAAUAUUGAAUAAAGGUAAUAUAAAAAAAUCAACUAAAACAAUUAAAAGACCAACAACUAAAAUAAAAACAUAUCGGGUUUGAACAGUAAACCCGCCAAACCUAGGUCAAUACUUCAAACCCGUAAAUCGGGUCAUGGAUUUCAUUGUGAUUUUUUAAGAUUUUUUAAUUAAAAAUAUAUUAAAAUAAUUAUUUUUAAGAUUUUUUUAUUUUUUACUUUAACAAAUUAAAAUUAUUAAAAAAAUUUAAAAACACUCAAACAAAUAAACAAAAAAUAAUUUAAAAAACACUUAAAAAAAAGGAGCUAACGUGUUACCGAAUGGAAUGGUUACAGCAAAACUUAAGACUAUUUAGGGAACGUCCCAAAAAAUUUUAAUUUUUUUUUUACUAAAAUUUAAUAUGGUUUGUAUGUUUUGGAUCGUUUUGAUGUGCUGAUGUCAAAAAUGAUUUUUAAAAAAUGAAAAAAAUCAUUGGCAUGCAUUUUGGUACGAAAAGUUAUUUGAAAAGCAUCCGUAACCACACUGCCAAACACGCUCUUAUUGCAUGAUGAAAGGAAUAUGAAACGAGUAGUGAGACGACUAGGGUGACUCGUAAGAGGAAAGAGCUAACUUUAUAUUCAUUAAAAUCUCAUCAAACUUCAUUGUAUUGAUUAGAAAAACACAGUAAGAUUAAAAAUCCGUCAAUCUAGCAAAAUAUGAAGAUAAUCAAGAUAAUACGUAUGAAUAUAAAAGAGGUGGUGGUGGACGAAGAGAUCGCUGGUGGUGAUGAAAUAAAAAUAAUAAUUAAAAUAGUUGGAUGAUAUUAUAAAUAUAUUAUUAUUUGUAAAAUAUUUUAUAGAAUUUUAUGAGAUGAAAGUAUUUUUUAAUAAAUAAAUUAAGUUUUAUAGUUGACUGUAAAAUAGUUUUUUGAAAACAAACACAUAAAAAUCUAGAAAAUAUUUUUCUAUAAAAUAUUUUAAGCUAAACAAAUAAAUUUUUAAUUUUUUUUAUUAAAAUCCAAAUAAAUACUAAAUUGGACAUGUAUUAACAUGGGAAAAUGAAGUAAAUAGAUUACAUAAUAAAGUGUUAAAUCACAUCCUAUAAAUAUAUUUUUAAAAACAAAAUCUUGAAAGAUGUUCGGUAAACAAACCAAAAAUUAUAACAUAUAACUAAUUUUUAUACGAUAAAUUAACAAGAAAUCAUAAUAAUAAAUAAUUAUUGAAAAUUCAUAAAUAAAUUUAAAGCUUCAGCAUUAUUAAUAAGCAUAAACAAGAAAUCAGUUAAAUUUGUAUGGGCAAGUCCAGUCGUUCCAUUCAUCAAUUUGUUCACUAUUUGCUUACAAAAAACAAAAAAAAAACGAAUCUUUUACUUAUUUUUGUGUUCAUAAGACUUUUUAAAGAAAAAGAAAAGUUAAAUGUGAGCUUGCGAAGCCACCAACGACUUAAGACUUUUGAGGAUAGAGUGGCGUGAAGUGAUUGGCUAAAGACAGAAAAGCAUAGAGGGAUGGAGAGAAAUUAUUUAAGAAGCAAAGCAGUAUAAUUUAAUUAAUUGGCUUCAAGACUUAAGAGCUUGAAUAUAUCAUAUUCUUACGGUAUUGUUUUGGAGCUUUUAAUUAAUUAUUGCCAUAUCUCAAUUAAUUUCUAUAGUAUUAGGAGAUUCUCAGUUGAGUUUUUAAAGUGUCACUUGCCUUCAAAAUUCAUGAUAUGAAAUGUAGUUUUUAAAAAAUCAGCUGCAAAGUAAAAACGGAUCAAAUUAUCUGUUGGUUAUUGUAAUUUUUAAGAAAAUAAAUUGCUUGUUAUUAUAUUAUUAAAUAAAAAAUAUUUUAGAAAAACAACUUUUUUAAACCAAGUUAUAAUAUGGGUUAGAAUUUUGCGAGUUAAGUUUUAAAGCUCAGGUCAAUCCAAUAUAUAGUAUCUUAAUAUAAAAAAAAAAUCAUCUUGAGUUUACUUUUAAAAUCAAAUCAUGUUUUUAUUGAUUAUUCAAGCUAUUUUUAAAACCACCUAAUCAAUUAAGCAUGUAAAGUCAGCUCUCAUACGUAUUAAUUAUAAAUUUAUGCUAGGUAAAGAGUCGUGUCGAAAGGUUUCAAGUUUGAUCUAUUGGGUUCUAUUUUUUUAUUGAUUUUCUAGCAAUACAAAUAGUUUUUUUGUCCUUUAAAUUUUUUUUUCAAUUUCAUAUCAUUCAAUAUAUUUUUAAAUUUAAUUGAUUUUGAAUUGGUUUUCAUAAUUUAUUUCUAUUUAUGUUUUGUAGGAUUAUUGUAGUCUUAAAAAAACUUCUUAGUAUUAGUUAAUAUCAUAGUUUUUAAACUCGGUCCGGCCCGGCGGGCCAACCCGGGGCUGGAAUCGGACCGGGUUUAAGAAAAAAUAAGGAAAGUCAAAAUCCAAGGUGACCCGACGACCCGGUUGACCUGGCAAGACCCGGUUGCAACCCAUUGACUUUUAUUUUUUUUUAUUAAAACAACGUUAUUUUGAUUUUUAUAAAAAAAAUCAGAAUUAACCCGGACGACCAGGUCAAAACCCGGGCCUUGGACCAGACCGGGUUUUAAAACUUUGGUUAAUACUUGAUUUUGCAAAAGCUUAUUAUUGUUGUAUAAGUAAAUAAAAAAUAUUUUAAUAACAAAGAAACAUAAUGGUUUCAUUAAAGAAACAAAGAAAUAUAAUGGAUAACUAAAUUUUAUGAGAUGCACGGAAAGAAGAUACAAAAAUGGUAAAUGAUUAUGCAAAUCAAUAACUAAAUUUAAAGCUUCAUCCCUAAAAUAAAAAUAACCAAAGAAAUCUUUUUAGAAUUUUAUGGUCAAAUCCCAUAACUUUCGCUCAUCACUUUGUAAGAAAUAUUUACUAAAUAUUUGGCCACCAUUCUAUACACAAGAACUACAUGGAAUAGAUUCAGAGUUUAUAGUCUAAGAUGAAAAAUACCAGAAAGAUAGUAAAUACGUAGGAACUAUAUUCAAUAAUUUAAUGUGUUGAAAUGAUAAUUACAAUAGAAGGAGAAACAAAAUGUCAUUAAAAUUUCUUAAAUUAUGGACAUUGAGAAAAGGUUUCAUUAAAUUAACUAAGAAAUAUGGCAUAUAAAUGAUUUCUAUAAAAUGCAUUAGGGGAAAAAAGAGAAAUGGUGUAAAUAAUUGGAUUGUUUUCGGGUGGUGGUGGUUGUGGUGGUGAUGAUCUUCUACUUCUACGUCGUAACGAGGCAUUAACCAUGCAACUGGUUUGUGAUAGUAUCAUCCCAUGAAAAAUGAUGAAUGCCAACAAGUAGGAAUACAUUUCCAUUGCUAUUGUGGCUGCCUGCCUGUGUCGAAACUCAAGAUAUGAUUGUGCUUUUUAUACGAAGAUGAUCAGAGAGCGUGCGAAUGAUUUCUACUGUACUCUGAAGCCUCAAGUUGUCACGCGUUAGAAAAUUCAAAAGUUGAGACGUCGAAGACUUACUAUUUUCAGAGCAAUUUGACCAGUUACCGGUGAUUUUGUAAUUUUCAGCCCUUUCGCUUAUUUUUGUGUUUAUAAGUUUUUUUUUUUAAAAAAAAUAGUUUAAAUGUGAGCUUGCAAAGCCAGCACUUGAGACUUUUGAGGAUAUAGUGGUGUGAAGUGAUUGGCUAAAGACAGAAAAGUAUAGAGGGCUGGAGAGAAAUUAUUUAAGAAGCAAAGCAGCAUAUGAAAGCAAGCAGGGAAAGAAAUAAGAUGGCGACAAAGAAAUAAUGGUGAGUGGAAAAUUCCUCCUGUGUAUUUCAGAGUAUGCAGAGAAAAAAUAAUAUAUAUUGGUAAGAUUGAGCUUGAAGGUUAAUGCAUGAGGGGUCGGACAGAUAGACAGAAAUUAAACAAAUCCCAAUGAAUAAUAAUAAUAAUAAAUAAAUAAAAAAACACUGUGGACCACUUGUGGUCCACAAUGUUUCGUGUUUGAUUGACAAAGUUUUUCCAUGGCAGUCAGUUACUGAAUGUAAUAUUCAUCGACAUGUCAUGAAUUAAAAGGUCAAUGUCACAAAUUAACUCUCCCAUGUGGCAUUUAAAAACCGGCGUGCAGUUGAAUGAGGGGUCGGACAGAUAGAAAAUUAAUUGGAGAGAACAUGAACAGAGAAAAUGAAGAAAGAAGACAACUGAAUAAUUGAUCAAAACGUGUGACUCCCUCCCUCUUUUCUUUUUAAAAUAAUAAAAAAAAACAGAAAUAACUUUUUCAUAUAAAAAAUCAUCUUAACUUAAUAACUUAACUUGUUAGUUAUAGUUUCGAGAUAUGAUUUAUAUUAUUUUCUAAUAUAUCCCUUAAAUGAAACCCUUUGAACUUGAAACUUGCACAGUUUUGCAUUAUUUUAUAUUUGAUUUUUUAUCAAAUAAAAAGAAUGAUAAGAUUCGAACUCGUGAUCGUUCGGUCUUUAAGGCUAUGAUACUAUGUCAAAGAAAAAACUCAAUCCAAUAAUUUAAGUUAUUAGAGAGAUCUCAAUACAUAAUUUAUAUUAUUCUUUAACAUUCUCUUCUCCAAAAAUCCUGAAAUCUUUACUUAAACUUCCUGAGAUAACCUCAGAAAACUUCCAUAAAAAAACUCCUUCAUGUGAGCCCUGAACAGACAUGAAGGUUGCUGCAAUAAGCUUCUCCAGCACAACAGCUGUGGAAUAUAACUUCCACGUAACUGUCCACUCAUUCAAUUUAAUAUCUUAAGUUAUUAAAUAAAAUCUUAACAUAUAAUUUUCUCUAAUAUAUUUUUUAAAAUAAAAUUUUUUUAAACUUAAAAUUUAUAUAAAUUCAUACUAUCUUAUACUUAAUUCUUUAUAAAAUAAAAUGAGAGUAAUAAAAACCAUUUAAUCAAUAAAAUUCUAAUAUUAUAUCAAACAAUUAUCUCACUCAAUAAUUUAAAUUACUUGGUAAAGCUUUAAAUAUGAUUUAUAUAAUUCAAUCUAACAAUAUCUUCAUUCCCAUGAAUCAUGAUUUUCUCCGACUCCAAAAAUUAUGAACUCUUUAUCUAUGUUUCUGUUAUGCUUGAGAUAACCUCGUAAAGAUUUCAUAAAACAAAAUCCUUCAUAUGAGCCUUGAACAGACCUGAAGACAGUAGCUGUUGCAAUAAGCUUCACCACGACAGUAGCUGUGCAACAGUUCUUCACUCCCAUGAAUCACGGUUUGAAUAUCAUGCUAAAUAUUGUCACCUUCAACCUGUUGAUUGAUAUAUUCUGUAAAGAAUGCAAUGUUUUAGACGCUCAAGGUGUCUUAAAAACAAUGACUGAAAUGGGUGUAUCCAAACCCCAAUUAAUUAAUGCAGAAUCAGUUCAAGCUUGCUCACUUAGCGCCUCUUCAAUGCAGUUUAAGCUAGAGGAAUAUUUUAAAAUUUUAAAAGAUUAAAAUGAUUACCGAAGUUGUGAAGAUACUGGUGGAAGAAGAGCAUUCCUCAUUUUCUAUGCAGUUUAAGUCAUGCUGGAUUGUGGUUAGAGUUGGUAGCAAAAUGUGCUUUUGGUUGCCAGGUGAGUUUGGCAUUCCUGAAGUGGUGUUGUUGGGUGCUUCAACAACACCACUUCAGGAAUGGCUUUUGAGAGUUGCGAGAAUUGUGAGAUCCAGGUUAUGGAGAGGUAGAAAACCGAUGAUUAUAUGUGUUGGUCGGGCGCCAGCUUGAAUUGUUGUUGUUAGUAUUGGAAGAUGAGCGUCAACCUGUGUUUUUGCCAGAGGAAUAGGUGGAGUGUGGCAAGUGACGUGAGCCAGUAUAAGCACGGUUUGCUAGAUGCGCAGAGGCAGGAAAAUAGGCUUGAGUAGUGUUGUUGAUAUUUUGAAGAGAUGCUUCAAAGUUUAGAAGUUUUUCAUGAAGCUUAUGAAAAGAGAUUGGAGUAUCUCGAGCUUGGACUGACCCAGCCAACUCUUUGUAUUCAACAUCAAGUCCCUCAAGAAUUCUUUCUUAGAGAUCUUCAAUAUCAACUGGUGCGUCAAGAAUGGCAAGCUCAUCUGCUCGGGCUUUUAUGGUCUGAAGGAACUCAGAGACAUCCAUUGAUCCUUUUGUGAUUUGUUUGAAUUGGUUUUUCACUUGCUUGAUUCUGCCACGAGAUGGUUUGGCAUAUGUAUUAGCUAGCCAAUAUUGUCCAUGCUUCCUGUGAUGUUUGUGCUUGAGCAAUGAAAGACAUUAUUAUGGGUGAAAGGGAACGAAGGAUGGCAUUGAGAAGUAAUUGAUCCUGUCGGAUCCAUAGUGUGUGCUGGGUUAGCUGUAGUGGUUCCUUGAAGAGUUCUUGCUGGACAGGGAUGUGAUCCGUCAAUGAAUCCAAUGAAAUCAUAUUCUAUGAAUAGAGUCUGGAAUUGAAGUUUUAAGACUAGAUAGUUGGUGGAGGUAAGUUUUACUGGUGUUUGGGCUGCUACAUUGAUGGUAAUCAAUGUGCUGUGAGAUUCAUUUGUGUUAAGUAUGGUGGUAUUGAUAGUCAUUGGAAGCUAGAGGAAAAGAGGAAGAGGAAAAGGGAAAAAAAACACGGUAAGAUGAGAGAAAGAGAAGCUUGUUUAUUGAAUAAAUCAAUCAGGUAUAUAUACAACAACAAAAGAGAGCAGAGCUGUCAGGAUUGGUUAACAGAAUUGCCAAAUCUUAAGCUAACAGAAUGGUUAAUAGAAUUGCCUAAUCUUGACCUAACAGAGCUAACAGAUUGUACACUUGAUUGUUAUAACAGCUGUACACUGAUUUGCAUAGUGUGUGUUAGUGCAUGUUUGUUAAUAUGGACUUCGGAGAAAAAUGGAGAAGAUUGAUUCAUGAAUGUCUCUCUACAACGAAGUUAUCAAUUCUAGUAAAUGGUUCUCCAUCAGUAGAAUUCCAAAUUAGCAAAGGGAUCCGCUAGGGUGAUCAAUUAUCUCUCUUUUCAACAUAGCUACGGAGGGAUUUUUAGUCUUAUUUGAAAGAGCAUCGAUCUGUAGUCUAUUCAGGGGUAUCCGAUUAAAGAAUAUAGAUUUCUUCAGUCAUAUGCGGUAGGUAGAUGAUACUUUAGUGUUCAUGUCAGCUAAUCUUCAAUCGUUGCUUAGGUUGAUAAGCAGCAGCAGCAAUUGAAGGAGUCAAGUGAUGAACUACAACAACGGGAUGAGCAACAGCUGGAGCCGAGAAGAUCAUGCAGAAUUCCUAAGAAGAAUCGCAGGUUUAUUGAGCUGUGAAGAGCCAGUCAAGGGAGGAACGAGUCAGGGGGUCUUCUCACUGCAGUGCCUUAGUGCACGGGAGGAAGGAGUCAAGUUUUAUUCAGCAAAUAAAUGCCAGCUAUGUAGCAGGAGUCAUCCUGAUUUUAUGUAGUCGUGCCAGUAUUUUAGGAAAGUUGUUAUUUCAAUUCUUGUAUUUAAACUCUGCUAUGAGACAGAGAACGCAUUCAUUCAAUAUUCAAUAAUAUCAAUUGUGGCUUAUUCUCACCCAAAGCAGAAUACAUUUGUGUUUGUUUCUUGUCUUUAAUUACUUGCUGUGACAGGGACCUAUCAAUUGAUAUCAGAGCCAGGUUAACAAUGACAACAAACAAGGAGCGGAUAGAAAAUUUGGAAAUCGGAUUGGGAGGUCUGCAAGAUGGAAUGAGCCGAAUGGAAAUUACUCUUGUUGACAGAAUGCAGCAGAUGGAAGUCAACAUCAAUAAGCUGACAGAGGCGUUACUGUCCAACAAAGAAGGAUCCAGCAGCCAAUCCAUUGAGCGCAAUGGACGCCCGCGCUAUCAACGUGAAGACAUUGCAGAACGAGCUGAGGGGAACAGACAGAUGUUCUCUUCAAAACUGGUGAAGCUUGAGUUUCCCAUAUACUCGGGCAACGACCCCACUAAAUGGUUCAACAGAGUUGAUCAAUUCUUCGAAUACCAAGGUACUGUGGAAACACAAAAGGUGUCAUUAGCAUCUUUUCAUCUUCAAGGGGAGGCGAACCAGUGGUGGCAGUGGCUGCGACGUGCUUACAAAGAGGAAGACAAGGAGAUGACAUGGCCAAUUUUUGAGGAGGAAUUAUGGGCAAGGUUUGGACCACCAGAAUGUGAAGAUUUCGAUGAAGCACUGUCAAGGGUGAGACAAGGGGGCUCACUACGGGAGUACCAAAAAGAAUUCGAAAGGCUGGGUAACCGUGUGCAAGGCUGGACGCAGAAGGCAUUGGUGGGAACUUUUAUGGGAGGCUUGAAACCUGACAUUGCAGAAGGGAUUAGGAUGUUUAAACCCAAAUCCUUGAAAGAGGCAAUUAGCCUUGCCAGAAUGAGAGAUGAGCAAUUACUUCACCAACGACGAUAGCCAUUUUCCAUAGUCAGAAUCCAUUUGCUCUUUUCACCACAAAUCACAGCAGCAGCUAUGCCCAUGAACGCCUGGCGUGGGACGAGAUGCAGAAGCGCCGAUCGCAAGGUCUCUGCUUCAAUUGUGACGAAAACUUCACUCCUGGCCAUAAGUGUCAAAGACCCCAUUUGUUGCUACUGGAAGGAGACGAAGAUACACAACUGCAAGAUGACGAAGACCUCGAAGAUGAUGAACCACAAAUUUCACUACAUGCUCUUACUGGCUGGUCGACUGCCAAAACAAUGCGCAUCAUGGCAAGAAUUGGAAAUCACGAAUUGACUGUCCUCAUUGAUAGUGGCUUCACCCACAAUUUCAUUAGCGAGCGGAUUGCUAAUUGGCUACACCUACCAGUGAUACCCACACAGCCCUUCAACGUAAAGGUGGCAAAUGGGAAUCCAUUGAAGUGUCAAGGCAGAUUUGAAAACAUACACGUCCUACUUCAAGGUAUCCCAUUUAUGCUGACUUUAUAUGCCCUACCUUUAUGUGGGUUAGAUUUGGUUUUGGGAGUGCAGUGGCUUGAACAAUUGGGAACAGUAGCCUGUGAUUGGAAGAAAAUGACCAUGGAAUUUAUGUGGAACAAUCAGAUGCAAAAAUUAUAGGGAAUUGACAGCAAACACAUUCAACCUGCGUCUCUCAAGGAUUUAUCGAAGGAGCUGCGCCAAAGCAAAAUGAUGUUUGCUAUCUGUCUACAAACCGAAGCCGAGAUGCCUGUUAGCAAAGUUGAGUCUGAAAUGCAGCAGAUGUUGGAGGAAUUUGGAGAUAUUUUUCAAACUCCAGCUCAAUUGCCACCGGUCCGGGAGAUCAACCACACCAUCACUGUCAAAGAAGGGACAGAACCGGUCAAUGUCAAACCCUACAGGUAUGCCUAUUUUCAAAAAGCUAAAAUUGAAAAACAGGUUCAAGACAUGUUAAAAUUGGGAUUUAUAAGAUCAAGCACUAGCCCUUUUUCAUCACCUGUUUUGUUAGUCAAAAAGAAAGAUGGCACAUGGCGUUUUUGCACAGAUUAUAGAGCACUUAACGCAGUAACUGUUAAAGACCGAUUUCCUAUUCCUACAGUAGAUGACAUGUUAGACGAAUUGCAUGGGGCUGUUUAUUUUACCAAACUAGAUUUGACAGCUGGUUACCAUCAGGUUAGGGUAGCACCAAUUGAUAUUCAUAAAACUGCUUUUCGCACUCAUAAUGGUCAUUACGAAUACUUAGUCAUGCCAUUUGGUUUGUGUAACGCACCCUCUACUUUUCAAGCCCUUAUGAAUGCCAUAUUUCGACCCUACCUUCGAAAAUUUGUAUUAGUCUUUUUUGACGACAUAUUGAUCUAUAGUCCCAAUUGGACCAUGCAUCUUGAACAUGUUCGCAAGGCUUUCGAAAUUCUAAGGCAGUACCAAUUCUUUGCGAAAUUGAAGAAAUGUGCUUUUGGUCAACAAGAACUAGAGUACUUGGGGCAUAUUAUUACUCCAAUGGGGGUUAAGGUUGAUCAAGCAAAAAUUCAGGCUAUGCUAUCCUGGUCAAGACCUACUAAUAUAUCUGAGCUUCAUGGAUUUUUAGGUCUUACAGGUUAUUACAGGAAAUUUGUCCGCAAUUAUGGAAUUCUUGCUCGACCGUUGACAUCCUUGUUACGCAAAGGUCAAUUUGGCUGGAAUGAUGAAGCCGAGGCAGCUUUUGAGGCAUUAAAGACCGUAAUGACGUCCACCCCAACACUUGCCAUGCCUAAUUUUGCUGAAGUUUUCGUGAUUGAGUCUGAUGCUUCCGGUGAUGGCAUCGGCGCUGUUCUGACCCAACAAGGGCGGCCAAUAGCUUUCAUGAGUCGAGCUUUGGGGCUAUCCAAGCGUGCAUGGUCAACUUAUGCGAGGGAGAUGCUGGCUAUUGUGGUGGCUGUCCAGCUGUGGAGACCAUACUUGUUAGGCCGUAAGUUUGUGAUCCAAACCGAUCAACGCAGCUUGAAGUACCUCUUGGAGCAGCGUAUUACUACCCCGGAACAGCAGAAAUGGGUAUCGAAAUUACUCGGCUAUGAUUAUGAAAUUGUGUAUAAGCCAGGAAAGGAGAAUUCAGCGGCGGAUGCUUUAUCACGAAUGACGGGAAGCCCUUGCCUUUCGCACUUAUCUGUUCCACAAAGUACCAUAUGGGAUCAGCUUAAGGCCGAAGCUGUUUCUCUUCCUUACAUGAAGAAAAUUGGCAAGCUCGCUGAUGAAAAUCCGGGCAGCCCGUAUACACGACGGAAUGGGUUGCUCCACUAUAAAAACCGAGUAGUAGUUGCCCCCAACUCGGACAUCAUUCAGCAACUAUUACGUGAAUUCCAUGAUUCACCUAUUGGAGGGCAUUCAGGUGUAUUGCGCACUUACAAACGGUUGGCACAACAGUUCUAUUGGCCAUCAAUGGCUCGCAUAGUGAGGGAAUAUGUCGCAUCCUGUGACGUAUGUCAACGGGUAAAAUCAGACACACUGUCACCGGCGGGUUUAUUACAACCAUUACCUGUUCCCUGUCAGGUUUGGGAUGAUAUUACGAUGGAUUUUAUUGAAGGUCUCCCGACAUCGGGUGGCAAGAACACAAUUUUCGUUGUGGUUGAUCGCCUAAGUAAGUCCGCACAUUUCUUGGCAUUGGCUCAUCCUUAUACGGCCAAAAUUGUGGCCGAGAAAUUCGUUGACGGGGUAGUGAAGCUACAUGGUAUGUCGCGGUCCAUUAUCAGUGAUAGAGAUCCUAUCUUUAUCAGUCAUUUUUGGCGUGAGUUCUUUAAAUUGUCAGGUACCAAGUUGAAGAUGAGUUCCGCAUAUCAUCCACAAAUGGAUGGGCAAUCGGUGGUGGUCAAUCGCUGCGUCGAACAAUAUCUUCGGUGCUUUGUUCACCACCAGCCAGCAAAAUGGAAUUCCCUCCUACCUUGGGCCGAAUUCUGGUAUAAUACAACUUAUCAUGCUUCUACAGGAAUGACACCAUUUCAGGCCCUCUAUGGACGUUUACCACCUACAAUUCCCCAUUACCACAUUGGCAUGUCUCCGGUGAAUGAAGUGGAUCAGCAACUCGCCUCUAGGGACGAAUUGUUGAGUCUGCUCAAGGCAAACCUGCAUGCGGCUAGUAAUCGCAUGCAACAACUCGCUAAUUCUAAGCGACGUGAUAUUGAAUUUCAGGUGGGAGAUUGGGUUUUUCUUAAACUUCAACCUUACCGUCAACAAUCCGUGGUCAGGCGUGUAUGCAAAAAGUUGGCUAGCCGCUAUUAUGGUCCUUAUCAGAUUGAAGAAAGAAUUGGCGCGGUAGCGUAUAAGCUAAAAUUGCCUACACAGGCUCGAAUUCAUCCAGUCUUUCAUGUGUCCUUGCUCAAAAAGAAAAUUGGAGAUGAGGUGGUUGAAUCAAUCGAAUUGCCACCUAUGUCUGCUGCGGGAGAGAUGCUGAUUGAACCUGAGGCUGUCCUAGACACUCGUUGGAUCAAGAAAGGGUCUCGGUUUGUCGAAGAAAUUCUCGUCAAAUGGAAACAUCUGCAGAAUGAUGAUGCCACGUGGGAAGAUGCUGUGGCGUUACGGGAGCGAUUUUAGAAUCUGAACCUUGAGGACAAGGUUCCCUUAAAAGAGGGAGGUAUUGAUAAGCAGCAGCAGCAAUUGAAGGAGUCAAGUGAUGAACUACAACAACGGGAUGAGCAACAGCUGGAGCCGAGAAGAUCAUGCAGAAUUCCUAAGAAGAAUCGCAGGUUUAUUGAGCUGUGAAGAGCCAGUCAAGGGAGGAACGAGUCAAGGGGGUCUUCUCACUGCAGUGCCUUAGUGCACGGGAGGAAGGAGUCAAGUUUUAUUCAGCAAAUAAAUGCCAGCUAUGUAGCAGGAGUCAUCCUGAUUUUAUGUAGUCGUGCCAGUAUUUUAGGAAAGUUGUUAUUUCAAUUCCUGUAUUUAAACUCUGCUAUGAGACAGAGAACGCAUUCAUUCAAUAUUCAAUAAUAUCAAUUGUGGCUUAUUCUCGCCCAAAGCAGAAUACAUUUGUGUUUGUUUCUUGUCUUUAAUUACUUGCUGUGACAGGGACCUAUCAUAGGUGAAGAGAAUUCUUCGCUGGUUUGAGUUAUGUUCAUGAUUAAAAAUCAACUUCCAUAAGAGCUCAGAGGUGGGAAUUAAUGUUGAUGAUACUUUCUGUGCAGGUUUAGCCAACGCAACUUUCAUGAAUCAUUACCUUUUUCUUAUCUUGGUAUGCCCUUAGGAGCUAAUCCCAGGCAAAUAUCUACUUGGAAGUUUGUCAUUAACAAAUUCAUGAUAGGUUUUCCUCAUGAAUGCUUACUAUGGCAGGAAGAAUAUGCUAUAUUAAGAGUGUUCUAAACUCAUUGCCCAUAUACUUUUUGUCAAUAUUCGUAAUGCCUAAAGGGGUAUGCAGGCUUCUGGCAUCCAUUCAAAUGAGAUUCCUCUGGGCAGGGGUUGCUAAACAAAGAAAGAUUUGUAAGGUCUAAUAGUGCACAGUUAUCAGAGAAAAGACUUGUGGGAGGUUUAAGUAUCGGGUCCUUACUCGAAAUGCAUAAUGCUAUGUUAUUCAAAUGGCUUUGGUGACUAAGCACAAAAUGUAAAGGUAAAUGGAGAGAUUUAAUCUGCAAAAAGCACCUCCCAAGUUUCGAGAAUGGUCUUCAUUAUUUCAACAAGAAAAUAUCAUGUAUUUGAGAGGUAAUAAUGAAAACAAUAAAUCCAUCAAGAAUUUAUGCAUAAGCUUUAAGAAAUAGCACUAGAUUUAUAGUCGGGAAUGACGAGUCUAUUAACUUUUGGAAUGAUAUGUGGUUGGGAGAUUCAUUGUUGAAAAAUAGAUAUAUGAGACGGUAUAGAAUGUCUAUAUGUGACAAUUUUGAACAUGGGUUCGUGGUGUAAUGGAUUAUGGACUAGGCAGUUGGGUUGGACAAUAGAGUUAAAGGCUUUUGAUCUUGAUCAAGUUUUUUCCCUACAGGGCCUCAUAAACGAGACUCAGUUGUUUCAAUGGAAACCAGAUGCUAAAAUCUAGAACAUUGAAAGAGAUGGGAAAUUUAUAGUUAAAUCUUGCAGUACACGAAUUGAUGGAUUGGAUUAUAAUGGAACUUGCUCUUUUACAUAAAACAUCUGGGAUUCUGCAGCUCCACCAGAGAUUCAAACAUUUUUAUGGUUAGUUUUCUAAAACAGAUUGUGUACAAGAUCCUUUCUUUUAAUCAGACAGUUGCUUCCAGUUGAUCAAUCUUGUUGUCCUUUUUAUGUGGAUGAUCUAGAGACUUCGGACCAUUUGUUACUUCAACGCAAGUUUUCUUGGAAUUUUUUAAAAAAUUCAUCUCCUAGUGGGGUUUCUCUUGGCGCGUCCCAAAGACCUUCGAUGAGCUACUAUCUCAAUAGCAUACAAUAGCUGAGGGAAAAUUUCAAAGGAAAGUGUGGAAUCUUCUCUCUUUUGGUGUUGUUUGGAGUAUUUGGCUAACCAAGAAUAAUCUGUAUUUUAACACACACUUCUUUUACAUUAUGUUUUUUUAAGGUGUUUGAGGUUUUUUUUAUGAGUUUAAUAUACCUAAAAGACUUUGUAAAUUAGUUGAUAAAAGAUAAGAAAUUUUAUAUUUUAUGUUUCGAAUCUUAUUUCUUGUGAUAGAUUUUUUCACCAAGUUAGAGUUUUAAAAUAUAAAUAUAGGCUGAAUCUAAGUUGAAUUACACAUAUUAAGAUUUUUAGAAAUGUAUUAUGGGCAGAAAUCCAAGUUAAUUUGGACCUUUAAAUAGACCUGUAAAAAUUAGGUCAAAAAUCCUACUUACAACAUGAAUCUCUCUUUUCAUACUUAAAAUUCAAACGAGCAUAUCUUGAUUUUCGGAUAUCAAAAUCAGGUUCAAAAGGUCUAAAUUCAUCUAUAUAUUCAGGGUACAACCUUAAUGAAAAGAUCAUUGUCAGAUAACAUUGUUUUCAAGAUGAAGAUCCUAAUGCAAGAUGAAAGACGAGUUUUAUUUGUGAUAUGAUGGGAAACUAAUAGUUUGGGAGUUUUAUCUUAAGAAGAAAUUUGAUAGGAUUUGAUGAAUUUUCUUUAGAGCAUGUAACCUUCUAAUCUUUAGCUUUAGUAGCUUAUCAUGAAGGUUUUCUAUAGGGAUAGAGGAGAAGAGAAGAACAACCAAGACGUUCUUUAUCCACAGGAAUUUUGAAAAGAUUAUCUUUGCUGCUGAAAUUUUUAGAGACUAUGAAUAACUAAUUCUCAAUUUCAGUUCAAGAAAAAUAGACUCCAUCUCCAUUAGUAUUUGUGAGAAGUACCGUUGUCAUUAUAAUCCAUUCGUAUCAAGUACUUAUUUAUCAUUAUUUCAAAAUUAUAUUAUUGAUUUCUUUUCAUGCUAAUUGAAUUGUUUUGAGAUGGCAAAUAUGCUAUAUAGUUUUCUUCAAUUCAUAAUUGUUGUUAGAGACAAGAAUAAGAAGAAAACGAGUUAACUUGAUUGCUACAACUUCCACUUUAAUUUGUUAGGAAUGAAUAAACUAAGUUAAAUUGUUCAGGCUUUCGAAAGGUUUCUUGAAAUAAAUUUACUAGACUUUGCUCCUAAAGCUAUUGCCGAGUAAAUGAGAAUUGUUUUUCAAUAUUAAAUUCGUUUGAUGGUAAGAAAUUGAUUAUAAAACUUUAUUUAAUUAAUUUAAUUAUAAUCUUCUUGAUCUCUCUCAGCUUUAAGGGAUAUCAAAUUUAUUUGCUUAACUUGUAAUAAUAUUUAUUUUACUUUGAUGAUCAAUAGAUUUAUAAAAAUAAAUAUAUAGACCCUGUUAGAUAAUAAUAUAAAUCAUAUCCUAGGACCUCACCUAACAGCUUAAAUUAUUGGGUUGAGAUGGUUCUUUGACAUGGUAUCAGAGCCUUGAUGACCAAGUGGUCUCGAGUUCGAAUCUCACCAUCCCCAUUUAUUUGAUAAAAAAUUAAGCACAAGGUAAUGUGGGUCUGUGCAAGUUUCAAGCUCAAAGGGCUUUCACUUGAGGGGGUGUGUUAGAUAAUAAUAUAAAUCAAUAUAAAUCAUAUCCUGGGACCUCACCUAACAGCUUAAGUUAUUAGGUUGAAAUGGUUCUUUGACAGACCCUUGAACUAAAUUAAUGACAUGUCAAUUUAUCAUUUUUAUUUUUAGAUUUUUUUUUAAUUUUCAUGAUUCAAAUCACCCCAUCCUUUUUUAUUUUGGUAUAUUAUAGGAAGAUUAAAUAAAAUUUCUCUUGGGUUGGACCUAGUCACAAUCAUACUACAAAAUUAUUUUAUUUGUGAUAGUAAAAUCAAGAUUAUAUUUUAAAGGUUUUCACUACGGACCAUAAGGAAAUUGAACCAAACUAAGAAGCAUGUUUUACUCUAACAUUGCAUUGAUUAUAAGUCAGGUUUAAAAAUUUUGACUCCAACUUUAGCUAUACCGAUAAUGACUUCACCAGAAGUUCAAACAAUAUUCAAAUGUGGACGAAGACCAAUAGUCGGUGGAUUAGAGUUAUACAGAAUAACAUUGUUUAGAUUUUUAAAGAAGAGUAAACACACCAAAAAGACGAAACAAUGAAAUCUCAUAGGCUAGAAAACAAUUGGCGUCUCUACAUUUAUAACUAUACAUCUUUUUUAUAAUCGCUUAAACGACAAGGGUGAUAGCAUGAUGACUUUACUAGAGAUUGGAGAGUUAAGUUCAUGUUUAUGUGGUUUAUGAGAAUUAUUAUGCAUCUUUUAAUAUCAUGUUUUUGUGGAAAGGUUUUUCUAACGAACUUUCUAAUACUAUUAUAUUAAUAUUUAUAAUAUCAAAAGAUGUUAUUUGACAUUUAUAAUAUUUUCAACUCUAAUAAAAUUUGUUAUUACAUAAAAAAUUAAAUAUAAAAAAAAUAUUUUUUUUGUGUUUGAUUUUUUUAAUUUUUUAAAAGGUUUAGUUAUAUUCAACCGCUACUAGAUCAGUCACUACCAGAAAUUUGUUUAAUAACAACGGAUUUACAGACGGAAUAUUUCUGUCAGUAAUUUGAGGUCAAACUUACCAACGGAUAUUUUUUUAUUCGUAAUUCAGUCGGUAAUUACUGAUGAACUACUUCCGUCAAUAGUUACCGACUGAAUUACAAAUGAAAAGUUCAGAAUUGUUGAGCGAGGCUGACUCUAGAGGUGUAAGCACCGCGAGUCUCAAUCCAGUCAGGGAAGGAUAGAUAGAAAGGAAAUAAGAUAGGUAAGUACUAGAUCCGACAUUCUUGAUUUCUUUACUAAGAAAAAUUCAAAUAAAAAAGAAAAUACGUGGGGCCUUGCUGGUAGUAGACCAGAACCAAGCCCCUCUAUUUAAAUAUUGGGGUUGGAAGGAAUUCGGGGGGUGCUAAGGCGAAUAACUUCUACAAGACCUUGAUUUUAGUAACGAGAGUCGGGAUCGCUCAUAGCUAGAUUCCUCAGUAGCUUAGCAACUCGUAACUGGAUGAGGGCAAGAGAACGGAUUAGCUUUUAGCUAGAGUCCCAGCACGAGAUUACUGAUUCCUGCACUAGAAAGCAAAGAGGAGGACCCUUGUUAUUAUAUUGCUUAGAGGCGAAGUAAUAAGUAGGGAUAACAGGAUUUGAACCCGUGACAUUUUGUACCCAAAACAAACGCGCUACGUACCAAGCUGCGCUACAUCCCUUUCAAUUGGUCCACUUCACUUUCACUAAGGCCCGGGCCAAGUCAUGAGUGAAAAACUGUACGUGAGAGUUUCCCUUCAUACAGCUCGAAUCAUUCUCAAAUGCCCCGAGAGGCAGCCUAUCCUUGUUUGUUGGGUUGGUUCGCGCACGCGCAAACGAGUACCAGCCGCAACAGUAGGAAACUAUGACCAAUAGAGUCAGACACGUCAGCUACAUCCGCACGCAAAAGGAAUGUGGUCCUAGAAGCUGACGAUACGAGAGACCAAAAGCCUUCGUUCAUCAACAGAUGAAGAAUGUGUUCCAGGUGAAGGCUCUGGAAGAAAUACGGUUUUGGACCAGUUUCCAGAGAUCGGACCCUAAGCUUUUCCGACCAAAGCUAAGGCUGAGGGGAUCCAGAAUCCUUCCCUGGCUAUUGGAUUUGAGACUGUCUUUCUCCUCAAAUCCUUCUAACUGUCUAGUGCAUUAAGGCGGCAUGUCUUACUCCGCGCCAGCAGUGAACGAAGUGUCACACCUUGGCCGUCUCUCACAAUUCUAUUGCUUAGCUUACAAACCAUCGCCAUCGUCUCGUAUUGUACAAAACGUGGGUGGCAGCUAAAAACAAAAUAUCAUCUGAUAGGUUCUCUAUGAUUUGCUGGGUGGUGAUUCAAUAGAUCCAGGUAGGUUUAGACCGCUGAACACCAUUUGGACGGGCCGAGUCUAUAUGGGCUUAGACCUAUUUCGUAAGUGAGCAGUCUUUGGCAGGCCUGGAGAUUUAGUUAAGGGGAGUAGAGGUCUAAAGCCCAUGUUACACGGGUCGGGAAACCUAUCAUCGAUGACUACGACAGAUUGUCUACGUCACUCAUCUGGAAAACCUAUGACUUUCUUUUCUCUGGAAGCAGGCCGCCACACCUCCCCUGUGAAAGAGGGCUACUCAGCUGAUUCGGUUAAUCACAUGUCAGAGCAGGAUCUAUUUUUCAUUACCAGCUUCGGGUCACCCUUUUUCUUCUUUCUUUGCUAAGCUCUUCCAUUUUUUGGAGUCUAAUAAAUCAUUUUUUUGGAAAUGAUCCAUGUCUGCUUGUUCUUCUGUACGGCCAUAUGACAAGUCAUGUGACAAUGACUAAUUAAAGUCACGACAGAAAAAAAAGCCAGUUGUAUACAUGUUGCGUCCAAGAAUCGGGCUACAUCCCGACCUCAUUAAUUAGGUGACUUCUUAGAAAGGGGAUUAAAUUCAUGGGAUGGUACGUGGAAAUGGAACUACGUAGCUCGGCAAAAGUAAAGACAGAGGUGAUGGACAUUAAAGUUGAAAAUGAUGAUCGGCAGCCUAAUUUGAAUUUUUGCUAGUCUAUAUUUUUGAAAUCUCACUACAUAGACUAUCAUUUCAAAGUAAAUAUAUUAUUCGAACCGAUUGCCAGGACAGGAAAUCUCAAACCAUUUGGUACCUAUGGAAUACAAACCCUAUUUUAGUUUCGACUACUGUUUAAAUAGCCAUAUUUUUAAUAAAAUCAAAGAUUAUAUAAAAAAAAAACCUUAUUCUAGUGCUACCCUAAUUUGGUAAUGAAGAUCUAACUGUAAGACAGACAACAAAAAAAUAUUUUAUGUUUGGCAAUGAAAUUUCACAAUCAAUAAGGAGCUAUAUAGGAGAUAUUACAAUAUGCUCUAUUGCGAGCUCAGAAUCAUGCUAUAGCCAUGAGCACUGCACAAGUGCUCGAAAUUAGACAGUGUACAAGGGAUAACAAAGUUUCGCCUUAUUGAAGCACACAAACCUACAAACUAAGAAGAAAAAACGAAGGCCAAGGAAAACUGGAACAUGAAUCAUGAAUCAUGCGGCAGUAGUACUGGCAUACAAUGGUGACUGUGCUGGUGUGGCUGUCAUGGAAAAAAAAAACAUACUCAACGGAAGAGUUCUUUUUGAGGAAGGAGAGACAAGUAUACUGCGAUGAAGGUAGAGGUAACUUUGAUGUUAUUAACUACGUUGUGGUGGUGGAGGGUGUGGUGGUGGAGGGUAACGAGGGCUACUAUAGGUGUGUGGUGGUGGUAAUAUUUUUGGUGGUGGAGGAAGACUAGGAUGACGGCCAUCAUUGACUUUUGGUGGUGGUGGUCUUGGAGGAGGAGGAGGAGAUUUUGGAAUAGGCAUAAAUGGUGGUUUUGGCUUUGGUUGAAUAAUUUUAUUGCUUUUUGGUGGUGGUGGUGGUAAUAAUGAACGUCGACUUCGUAACGAGACAGUAACCAUGCAACUGGUUUGUGAUAGUAUCAUCCCAUGAAAAAUGAUGAAUGCCAACAAGUAGGAAUAGAUUUCCAUUGCUAUUGUGGCUGCCUGCCUAUGUCGAAACUCAAGAUGAUAGUGCUUUUUAUAGGAAGAUGAUCAGAGAGUGUGCGAAUGAUUGUCAAAUAAAAUGCGAACUUAGAAUCUUUGAUUACUUAGCUGUAACCCAUCAAACAAACAUGCAGUUGUUGUUGGUAAUUAAUUUGGACAAAGCUCAAGUCAAGUUCUCACGCGUUAGAACAUUCAAAAGUUGAGACUUCGAAGACUUGCUAUUCCUAUCUAUUUCGUUGAGAUUUUUUUGGCAGAAGAACCUAAAAAGAAAAUUCGUUUUUUCCCUUCCAAUGAAUUCUAAUUUCCCUCUUCUUUUCGUGAUAAAUGACAAGGUGUAAUCAUAAGAGUGAUGCCGAGUAAAUCGAUGCAACUAUAGGAUGUAUAUGGGAAAUUAAUUAGUUUACCAAAUGGAUAUUUCAAAUAAGGUAAUAUAAUAUAUCAGAAAUAGUUAGCAGUAGCCUAUGUCCUCACUCCACUGCAGUUCGGGUAAAUUGUUUUUGACAAAUAAAACAAAUGCAAGCGUUGGCAAAGCUUUCUACACCAUGAAAACAAAUUAUAAUUAUGAAUAGAAAAGAUAUUGUAUAUGUUUAAUAAAAUAAUCUGAGAAUUAUAUGUAUCAAAAAAUGAUAAAAAACAUUUAAUGCUAACCUAAAUCUGAGCCAGAAAAUUGAGAUUAUGAUGAUGCACAUUAAGAUACUAAUUGCAUCAAUCAUAGAGUUCUCUAAUUUUUUUUAAUUUAAUUAUAUAAUAUUAAAAUUAUUUCUCCAGAGAAAAGUAAUUAUUUCAACUCUAUUAUAACGAAUUGCCUAGAAUAAUUCCAUAUUUUCUUAUUAACAUCUUUUUUAAAAAACAUAUUAGUUCAUGAGUCUGAACUGAAACAGCACAUUGCCCAAGAUAUGCUGGGUUAGAGGGAUAAUAAUUUUCCCAAUUGAUUUGAUCCAGUUGUUGCGGAAUUUUCUUUAGCUGAGCAAUGCUUGCUUCUUCUGCUUCAAUCAAUAUUUGACUUGCAGUGGCUUCUAUCAAAGGUUGCCAUAUCAUCUUAUUUUGAUGGAUUAUACUAGUUGUAUAAGUUGUCGGAGCUAAAGACUUGAGGCGUUUCCUUAAUCUUUCUAUCUCAGUAGUAAUUACUCGGAUAGACGUCUCCAUUUCCCUUGAAGCUGGUAAAUACUUAAGGCUAUGCCUAAAGAAUUCCCAUCUUUGCUUCAAUUGGUCAGCUACUCUGGCUUCUUCUUCUCUAGAUCGGAAAUAUUUCGAAUCUAUAGGAAGGGCAUGAUGAUGCUUAGGUCUAUUGACUCUAGCUUCUAGCUUCAAUCUAGAUUCAUCUUGCGUCAUUGGAUCUUCUAGGUUUAUAACCUGAUUGGGAUCCACCACUUGCUUCCGUUUUGUCAUUGUCUAUAGACUCUUAACGCUUGAACCUGUUUCAAGAGUUUGAUAAAUCCUUUAGCUAAGAAUAGCUUACAAAUGUUUUCAUUUGUUUCAGGCAUUCCUUCUAUGAGGUUUUUAAGACUUAUAAUCUCUCUAUCUAUUGUUAGGAGGUUUAAAUCUAGCCUGGAAAGACUAUCUGAUAAGAUGUCCUGAGAUCCUCUUAGACUAUGGUCAAAGGCUGCUUGUAAGGCCUGAGAGGGAUUCUUACUCAGAUUAUUAGAGUAUAUGUACUCUAAGUUUUGAGCUAUAGCUGGGUUAAUAACCUGGCUAUAUAGGGGCAAACUAGUAAACUGUGGGUUAACCUUUAGGUCUAUGUCUUGUUCUAAAGACAUGUCUAUGAAUUCCUUUUGGAGUCUAAAAGCUUGAUGAGUUCUUCUCUUUCUAUUUGGGUUAUGAUCCAGGAUAUUGUGUAGAACCAUGUUCUUUUCUUCACUAAGGAUCAUCUUAGCUAUCUGAAGAUUUUCUACUACACUGUGCUGUAGCUAAUUCAAAGAGAUGUCUAGAUUGUAGGAUAGUUUAUCCUAAAUCUGUCAAAUCAUCCCAAUUUAGGUGAUCUGUCAUCAGUGUUUUGUCUUGAUUCAUAAAAACAAAUAUUUUGUUGUGAUCACUAAAUGAUAGUAGUAUGUGUAGACACAAUUUUAAGCACCUAAAAUUAAACAAGCAUACGUUGUAUAAAUAUAUGAUUUUAUCAAAUAUAUGAAUGGAUACAAUCUCUAUGUAAUAUAUUCUUUCAAAAGAAUAUGACAAUCCUCUUAUUCUUCUCUUGAAUAUGAUGUAUGGUGACUUGAUUUAUUUGAGAAAUCAAGCCAAGAUUUGUGCUUUGCAAGAACGCGAAUUUGAGUGUGUAUUGUAAAGCGAGAUUUGGUGAUUUGAUGCUUUGAAGAGUACCUUUGAUUCGUCUUCAAAGUGUUGCUGAAGAACUCUUAUGGGGCGUUUAGGCUUGAUCCAACAGAGCUUGGCGAGAUUUGGUGAUUUGAUGCUUUGAAGAGUACCUUUAAUUUGUCUUCAAAGUGUUGUUGAAGAACUCUUAUAGGGCGUUUAGGCUUGAUCCAACAGAGCUUCGUUGUUUUUAGACUUCAAGCAUAGAUGAAGGAGGCUUGAGAACUCUUUGAGAGAGCUUUCUUGCUUGAAGAGGGGGAGAACUUCCUUGCUUGAAGAGCUUAUCUUGAAGGAAAUUUGUAUAUCACGGAAUCCCCCUUUCUCUAGGUUGAUGCCCUUUAUUUAUAGAGAUUUGUAGGGGAUCUCGGGUCGUUUUUCAAUGCCACAUGGCAUAAUUUCAUUGGUUGAUAUUUAUUGACUGGAUCUUGUAUUUAUGAUAAGAUAUCUGAUGGGAUCUUGCAUUUAUGACAAAAUAUCUUGAAUAUCUCAUCCCAAGUGUCAACUUUUCAUUGGCCAAGAAAUAUAUGGAGGCUCAUUUAUUUUCCAUGUCAUUUAUUUCAAUUUUAUUUUAUCCUUUCUUGUAAAGAAUAAAAUAACACAUUGUAAAAUUUGAUUGGUAAAAAAUUUGUGUUUCUAUAGUAUGCUAUUAUGAAUGCUAUAAGAAUAAUUGUUAUGCAAAAGCCUAAUAUUAAGGUCUGAAUUUCAAUGAGAGGUUGUUGUAUCUCUAAUGAAUUCUUCGCAUUUAGAUCGGGUAUGCCUGUGAUGAUCACAAUAUUCACAAAGUUGGAGAUUUUUUCUCAAACUUUUAUUCCUCUUUAUGAGCCUUUUUAUUUGCUUAGACUGUGAAUUGAUAAUGUUAUCUCUGAUAACAAUAUCUUGCUCUUCUAGAGCUUGGAUCUGCUUUUGCAGAUGAUUAAUCUUAUUUUCCAUAUCGGAAAUCUGAGAUGAUAGCUAUGUUAUCCUAGCAUCUUUUGAUGAAAUUUCAUUAACUUGUUGGUUGAUGAUGUCUUUUAACACUUGUUUAGACAUAUUUAACCUCUAUUGAGGGAAGGAAGAGUAUAUAGUAAAGAGAUAAAGAUUAGCUAUUGCCAUUCGAAGGAUAGAUUAUCGUAGCUUACCCUUUCUGCUUUCGUUGGCUUCGUCUUCUUAAGGAUUCCUCACUCCCUCGCUUCUCUUCGCCUGCGGGUUCCCUCUCCUCGGUACUACCUGCACGAUGUUAGAGUAUAGUGCACAUGAUGAUGAUAAGUGUAAUCUUGAUUAAUAAAUCUGUUAGUUAGUCAGCUGUUAGUUAGUUAGUUAGUUAGUUAGAAAAGUUUUUUUCACUUUCUCUCAUCUCUCACUCAACCUUUCUGAAUAUACAACAAUAGAUACACGUUAACAUGGUAUCAGAGCUCUUAGCUCACGCUUGAAGGUCCUCUCUGAUUGCUUCCGCAUUCUCUCUGUUUCUUCUUUACAUUCUGCUCUCUGGUUGAUAAUCUGAUAACUUUUCAAUGGUGACUGCCUCACAACUUCAACUUCUGCAAUCUCCAAUCACAACUCUCAUCUCUUCUAUUCCUACAUCAGUUAAUGUCAAGCUGGAUGAUUCAAACUACCUCAAUUGGAAUUUUCAAAUGCAACUUCUGCUUGAAAGCAAUGGCAUUAUGGGAUAUGUUGAUGGAUCAACUCACUGUCCACCUCAACUCAGCUCAACUUCAUGCGAAUCUGGCAUCACUUCUUCUUAAAAUGAUGAAUUCAUAGUCUGGAAAAUGCAUGACCGAGCCAUCAUGCAAUUGAUCACUGCUAUAUUAUCACCUAUUGCUAUGUCUUGCGCAAUUGGUAGCACUAGCUCUAAGGAUCUAUGGAAUCGGCUGAAGAAAUAGUUUUCAACUGUAUCCAGAACUAGCAUUUUUUAGAUGAAAUCUAAUCUACAAACAAUCAAGAAAGAAGCAGAUUCGGUUUCACAAUAUCUUCACCGUAUUAAAGAAGUUAGGGACUAUCUUUAGACUGCUGGUGUAUACCUUGCUGAUAAAGAUAUAGUUAUUCUGGCUCUAAAUGGCUUGCAUAUUGAGUAUAACACAUUCAGAUGUGUUAUAAGGGGACGUAAGAGUGUGAUCUCAUUGCAUGAUUUUCGUUCACAGUUACUUGCAGAGGAGGUGAUUGUAGAAGCAUCAGCUCAUGCUCCUCUAAUGACAGCAAUGGCUGCAACUACAGGUUUUCUAGUGAAUCAUAGUUCAUCUCAGGCUGUUAACAGAGGAUUAAAGCCUUAUAGUGGGAACAGAAACACUGGUAGAGGUCGCUUUAUUCAGGGAGCUAGACACUUUCACUAUAGACCAGUGUUUUCUUCUAUGGCACAUGAACGCCUACACUCUAAUCCUGGAGUUCUUGGCCCUUCCCCUGAUCAACAGUUUCACAGUCAUUCUACAUCCAUGAUGCCAAUCUACAAAUUAUACAAUUCUAAGGGACAUACUGCCCCGUUUUGUGAUGUUUCUCCUUAUAAAAAAUCCAAAUGUCAUAUAUGUGGCUGAAUUAAUCACAUUACCUGGUUUUGCUUUUAUAAUGACAAAGGACCAAACUAUAUUGGCAUGCAUCCUACUACUGCUUAUCCUUCUCAGCAGUCUUAUCCCACAUAAUCACCAACUAUGCAACAAUCCUCAUAUCAAGCUCCUUCACCUCAUCCCUUAUUCUCAUCUGCUCAGUUUCCAAACUCACAGUUUGCCAUGCACACCAUGCUCCACUCUGCACCUACAACAUCCAAUUCUUCAGGAUCAUCUCAAGUAUGGCUCACUGAUUCUGGUGCAACCAAUCAUAUGACAGCUGAUUUGAAUAAUCUAAUAUUGGCCUCACCAUAUCCAACAGCUGACACAAUUCAUGUUGCGAAUGGUGAAGGUUUGAAAGUAUCUCAUGUUGGUCAGUCUAUCAUCAAUUCUUCUAUGUCUUCACUCAAGUUGAAUUAUGUGCUACUUGUUCCUCAAUUAACUCAGAAUCUAUUGUCAGUCCAUCGGCUCUGCUUUGAUAAUAACUGCUGGCUUAUUUUUGAUGCAUUUUGCUUUUGGAUUCAGGACAAAGCCACAACGAGGAUUCUUUACAGAGGCUUGUGCAAUAAUGGCUUGUAUCCUAUCCAUGCUUUUUCACAUAGUUAUUAAACCCGGACCGGCCCGGCGGGUCGACCCGGGAACCGGUCGACCCGGUGGCUGGACCGGUCCGGGUUAGGAAAAAGACCGGUGAGUGUAAAAAACCGGCAAGACCCGGUCGACCCGGCGGGUCAACCCAUGACCCGGGCGACCCGGGCAAACCCAGACGAGACCCGGAAUUUGUAAUGCAUCAACUGCCAUUUGCAAAAUCAAAACUCGAUCCAUGAACACCAAUCAACCUAACAUUUAAAUCCUGCAAAAAUUAACAGGAUUAAUUGUCUAAGCUAUGUGUAGGGUUUUUAUUUCAAUUCAUUAAAAUAAUUAUUUUAGUUUUUUUAUUCAAAAAAAUUAUAAAUGUAUAAAGUUUAUUUUACAGUUUAUAAUAAUAAAAAAUAAACUAAAAUAUAAGAGUUUUUUCACACUUCUAAUAUAAAAAAGUUAUGUUUUUUAAAUAUAUGAUAAAAAAAAUUUAGUUAAAAUAUUUUAAUUUAAAAUGAUAACAUAAUAUAUUUUCAAUGUAGGAUUUGAAACCCUUUCAUAUAUAUACUCUAUAUUCACAAGAAAAAAGUUAUUUUUUUUAAUAUGGGAUAAAAAACUUUUUUGGUUUAAAUACUUCAACUUAAAAGCAUAACAUAGUAUUUUUUUAAUGUGUGAUAAAAAACUUUUUAAAAUAUUCUUUUAAACUUCAUUAUUUACAGUAUGUAUAGCUUAUAUUCACAUUGAAUUUUUUUCAUAUGAAAUAUGAAAUUUUUAAUUUUUUUUAAAUUGAUCCGGGUUGAUCCGGGUUGACCCGAGUUGACCCAUGAAAUCCGAGACCCGGCCCCUUGACCGAGUCAAUCCCCGGGUCGGGUUUGAUAACUAUGCUUUUUCAUCAUCAUCAUCUUCCACUCAGCCUUCGCCAGAUCAGGCAUUUCUUGGCCAACUUGUUCAGUCCAAUCUAUGGCAUCAUAGGUUAGGACAUCCCACAAAUUUUGUCGUCUCCCUCAUGUUGAAUAAAGCUCAUAUUCAUGUUCCCAAAAUUUCUUCCCCUGUGAUGUGUCAUCCAUGUCUUGCAGGGAAAGUUAGUAAACUGCCCUUUCCUCAGCAUCAUCACAAAUUCACUUCUCCCUUUGCUACUAUCCAUACUGACUUGUGGGGACCUGUACCAUGUAUCUCAGUGGAUGGUUAUAGAUAUUAUACUAUCUUUAUUGAUGAAUGUAUAUAUUUUUGCUGGUCAUUUCCCCUAUUCAAUAAGUCUGAUUUGUUCUCUAUGUUUGUUGCCUUCUAUUCCUUUCUUGUUACACAACUGAUACUGUUAAAACUCUACAGUCUGAUGGGGGGAGAAUAUACCUGCAAUUGUUUAAAACAAUUUCUCCUUGACAAAGGCAUUGCCCAUCACCUCUCUUGUCCACACACCCCUGAACAAAAUGGGGUAGCUAAGAGGAAAUAUAAACAUAUUAUGGAAACCACAAGCACUCUAUUGCACACAGCCAAACUACCAUCUAAAUUUUGGUCUUAUGCAUGUUUAACAGUUACAUACCUCAUCAACCGUAUGCCAACUCCUGUUCUUCUUCACAAGUCUCCUUUUGAGAUGUUAUUUGGGUCUUCUCCAGAGCUUAAUCAUCUUAGGAUAUUUGGUUGUGCAUGUUUUUCUCUUCUUCGUCAUUAUAAUCAUAACAAACUGCAGCCCAAAACUUCCAAAUGUGUGUUUCUUGGAUAUGGCAUCAAGUACAAAGGUUAUUUGUGCUAUCAUGUGCCUACUUUGUGAUUGUUUGUUUCAAAACAUGUUAUAUUUGAUGAAACACAAUUUCCAUAUCCUGAAUACUCACAUCUCUCCUCACCCGCAGCUCAGUCCUCACUAUCCUCUUCCUCUUCCACAUGUCCUGUGCUUCUUGUUAAUACAGAGAACACAAUUAUUCCUUCCAGCCCUAGUUCCCCUUCCCAUCAUACACCUAUUUUCUCUACAGUUUCUCCUAGUUCUUGGUCCAUUACUGCUUCCCUUCAAGCUUCUUCUCCUCCUCUUGUGGUGCCUGAUAUCAAUAUCAGUUCUACUACUUUUAAUCCUGACAACUUGCCAAUGGUCUUGUCCAUUCCUUCUCUAAAUUUGCAUCCCAUGCAAACCAGAAGAAAAGGUGGCAUUAAUAAACGGAAGGCUUUUUUAGCCAGUAUUUAGGAUUCUAGCAUGGUUGAUAUGUCUUUGAUAGAACUAGCUACUUAAAAAUCUGCCAUCAAAGCUCCUGUGUGGUUACAGGCCAUGCAAGAUGAAAUUAAUGCCUUAUGUCAUAACCCAUUUUUGGGUUAUUCCCGAUUCACCUUUUUUUUUCCUCUUAAAAAAAAUAAAAAAAUAUUAUCAAAAAAUAUAACAGUGAAAAGAGGAUGCCAGAACGCUCAGAAAAUAGUCAAAAUUUGAUUGGGGAGGUUUAAAAAUACAAAAAUUAAAAUUUGGCAGUAUUUCAUUGACUGAUGAUAGCCCUGUUGACAAAGAAAAUUCAAUUUGAGGAAGAUUGAAGGUUUAAUUGAAUUUAUGGAGGGUUUGAUUGUAAGAAAAAUUGAUUUUGGAGUUAAUUUGGGCUUUAAUUGGAAGAAAUUAAAGUUCUGGGGUCAAAUUAUAAUUUUUGAGAGUUAAUUUGGUCAAAUUAGGGGCUUAAUUGCAUAAAUAUUGAAGUUUGAUGGCCAAUUAGGGACUUAAUUGAAGAAAUCCGAGACCAAGGACCAAAAUGCAAAACACGCGCAAAUUGAAGGAUUGACUUGUAGCCUGGCGCUUUGGCGCCAGUUUUCAUUUAAAUGAAACGGCGCGUUUUAAGCAAAACGACGUCGUUUCAUGCAUUUCAAAAAAAAAAGAGGAAAAACGAAACAGUGUCGUUUUAGACGGCACUGUUCCUCUUUCUUCUUCCCCUGGACACGCAACAGGGGAAGAGAAGUUUUUGUUCUUUUCCGUUUGUUUCUUCCUCUCUCUCGCUCCCCACGUGCCCUGUUAAAACCAAAACCGGACACCACCCGCACCUCCUCAUGAUGAGCAGACAGAGAAGUCGUGCCCCGCAAGCGACGCCUCCAUUGGCCACCUCAGCCGGCGCCACAGCAGUGCAGGAGACGUGCACCCCAUGCAUGGGCAGUGAUGGGACGGGGCAGGGUCGACCCCGCUCCCCCUGCCCCUAUAAAUAGUGACCCAAAAGGAAGAAGAAGGAGGGAGAAAACGGCAGAAAACGGGGAGGGAAACCGAGAGAGAGAAACCAACAGUGUUGAGAGAGAAGGAACCGAAACAGUAGAAACCGAAAAUCGGGGAUAUCAACAGAGAGACCGAGAGAGGCAAACGGAGAAAAGGACAGAAGGAGUGAACCGGAGUGGCCUGGUGUCCCUACGUCGUGGAGAAGAAGAACCGCUGCUGUCAUCGGGCUUCUCAGUAAUCGCCACCGCAGCGCCACCGAGAACAGUCGCCAGCACUACUGUCAGCUCAGCCAUCCGAGAUCAUCGCCUCAGGUAAAUUCCCUUCCCCUCCAUAGCCGCCGGUCAUUAGUCAUCUUUUUGCUUGCAGAACGUGCACUGUGCACGUUCUGCAUGCAAGAAGAAGCUAAUUAAUUCACUGGUUAUUGUGCUCAUGCACAGUAACUGUCGCGGGUGCGCGGCGUCGCGGCGAAAAUUCCUCUUUUAAAAUCUAGGAAAGGUGUAUGGUAUUUAUCUGGCAAAUGUGGGGAGACAUGAAAAUAUUGUCUUUUGUUGGUAGGAAAAUGGAAUGGGAGUCGCCACCUAGUAUUUUGGUCACUAGGAACCCUAACUGGUCUCAGAGAUUAGGUACGGGGACUGGUUGCGUAAAGGGAAGGUAUUAGCACCCCAAAUACGCCCUACCUAAGGUAAGCUGCAUUGUUUAUUUGUCUGAUAAAAUUCAAGGUCUCGUUGUGUUUCCUAGUUGUUGGUCCGUCUAUGGUUCAAGAAAAGUCCUCCUCAAUAAGGAGGUCCUUAUCUUAAGGGGUAAAACCUAAUCCUUCUAACGUCUAUGUAUGUUGGUCCGUCUAUGGUUCAAGAAAAGUCCUCCUCAAUAAGGAGGUCCUUAUCUUAUCGGGUAAAACCUAACCGUUCUAACGUCUAUGAAAAACCAUAUUUUUUUAUAUCAGGAAUACGUCUUACGUAUAAAUUCGUAAUCCCAAAUACUAAAAGAAGACAAAAAGAUUUUUUUUGAAUUUUUGAAAUAUUGGCCUAGUUCUCAUGGCUUGAAUAAACGGGUUAUUAAAGCCAAAAUGCAUACUAAUACAUAUAUUGUUUUGAAAUUUUCUUUGUUGUGUGAAAAAUAUGAUGUUAUAAUAUUUAUAUAUAUAUAUUGGAGAGACUAGGCCGUAUGCAUGAAAACAAAACAUUUUUAAAAUAUUUUAUUUUAUUUUUUUAUGUCUUGACGAAAACCGGGUAUUUGAAUACCGGAUUUGUAUCCUUACAUUAUAAAAAUACAAACCGAUAUUGAUCAAAAUACAGUAAUGAACUUGCAGAAAAUCACAUAUUUUUUUGGAAUAAUUUUCGACGAAAUUAAAUAAUUUUUCUAUGUAUAUAUCUAGAUAUAAAUAAUACAAACACAAUAUAAUAUACAUAACAUAUAAUAUAUAAUUGGGUUGGGUUGGGCCGGCCCAACGAACUGGGCCGGACUCAGCCCUAAAAGGUGUUGGGCCGAUCCUGGCCCAACAAAAAUCUGGUAUUUUUCUUCUGGGCCGGACCCUACCCGGAAGGCAGAGCUGGGCCAGGAUCAGCCGGGCCCAGCAACAAAACUAACUGGGCCAGAACAAGUCUGGCCCAGCACAAGAAACCAACGGGGGGAAUUAUUUUCCCCCCAUCCUCCUGCAUGCAGACCGAAGGUUCUGCAUGCAGAAGGAAACGCAAGAGAAGAAAAUGAAAUGAGGGGGAAGGGAAGUUUACCUGGCGCGGCAGAGGCGGUUUCUUUGCUGGCGUGCACUGGUCCCGGCUGGAAGAAGAAGGAGCAGAUUCCUGCAGAGGAGAAGGAAAGCUCUCGGCUGGAGCUGUUGGUGUGACUGAGGAAGGAGCUGCUACUCCGGUUGCUGCUGGGCGUCGCUGGAGGAAGGAGGACUGCUGUUGGCCGGUGAAGAGGCUGGAAGGCGGAGGCUUGCUCCUGUGGAGGCUGUCGCUGCUGAGGAGAUGAUGGGGACGGCUCUGUGGUGGAGGAACUCGGCUGCUGUUAUGGGGUUCUCCAGGUGUGGCUGGCGGCUGGAAGGGAAAUGGGGCUGCUGUGAUUUGGCCGGGGAGGGAGGUCGAUGGAAGGGAACAGCUGGGAUGGAGAGGGACGUUACUGCUGCUGUUCAGCCGCUGCUGGGGCCGAAUGGAGGAGAGACCUGGCUAUGGAAAUGAGGGAGUGAGGGGAGACUGUUCUGUCAAAAAGAGGGGCGAGUGAAAGGGAGAUGGGGGAAUGCAGAGGAGGAUCCUCUGGUUUGGGAAAAGAAGCUGGAAAUGAGGGCCGGUUGCAGGAAAACGGGCAGGAAAGCUUAUUUUGUGCCAACUUUGAGCUCUCCUUUUGCCAACCCUUUGAGCAUGAAAAUUGAUCCUAUUUAUAGGGCCGGACAGAGGGUAAUCUCGUCUUCAAUGGGAAAAACGUCCCAGCCCUUGAUUCGCCUUGAGUAAUUCAAACCGUUGGUUCAAAGUGUGCACCUCGAACUGCCAAAUUUGCAGACUGCCCGAGGUGCACGAUUUGGGCCAAAAAACGGAGCUGUUCCAAACCUUUUUGACCCGACCGGACCACUCCCCAGGAUAAAUGUGUUCCAGGUGGACAUGUCGGUGCAUGCUUUGUCGGAUUUGGGGGCCAAACGAGGCAGCAAACACGCCUGGAAGUCGGCCACUCGGGCAGCUUGGCGGGGAAGACAGUGAACAGUACCGGGCGACGCGUCGCCUGGUUCCUGCCUCUUCUUUUUUUUUUUUUUUUUUUUUAAAAAAGUGCAAAACGGUGCCGUUUUGAUAAAAAUAGGGAUUUCUUUGCCAAUUUUCAAUUUAGUCCUCCGACUUUCAAUUUCGUUCAAUAUUAUUCCCUAAUUGACCCUAAAACUUCUGAUUUGAUGCAAUUUAGUCCCGACAUAACUUCACCUUCGGCCCCAAAGUUACCCGUCUUUUGCAAUAUGGUCCUUGGUCUCGGAUUUAUGCAAUUUCAUCCCUAAUUGGCCAUUAAACUUUCAAUUUCUUCAAUUUGGCCCCCGGAUUUUGUUAAUUGCAGCCCUUAUACUUGCGCGCCUUUUCCAAUUUGGUCCUUGGUUUCAGAUUUCUUCAAUUAAGUCCUCAAUUGGCCCUUAAACUUCAAUAUUUAUGCAAUUAGGCCCCUGAUUUGACCUAAUAAAUUCCUAAAAAAUAUAUUUUAGCCCCAGAACUUAAAUUUCUUCUAAUUAAAGCCCAAAUUGACUUAAAAAUCAAUUUUUCUUACAAUCAAAUCUCCUAUAAAUUCAUUUAAAAAUCCAAUUAAGUCCAUAAACAUCCAAAUUUGGGCUUUUCUCCUCAAAUUUCAAAUUUCCCUUGUCAACAGGGCUCUCCUCCUUCAAGAAUAUACUGUCAAAAAUCCAAUCUUUGUAUUUUUACCUUCCUUGACCAAUUUUCCAACCAUUUUCUGAGCGCUUCUGCCUCCUGUUAUUUUCCUAACCUCCUUUGGCUAUAUAUUUUUAUAUAUAUUUUACGGGGACCCAAAAAUGGGUUACAACAGAUGCCCCCUCUUUAUAAUGCUUACGGAGCAGAGGUUUUGCGCAGUACGUUUUAUAAAGAUAAACCCAAAACGGAACUCCCGAAACUGAUCUGGUUGAAGCUUGAUUGAUCUGAAACUUGUCUUUUACAGCAAUCCUCCUCAACUUGGAAUCCCAUCUGGCGAUUCCUUUUAACCAAUAUCGAAAUACGAGAUCCCUUCUGGCGAUCUCCUUUAAUCAAUUUGGAAUCCCAUCUGGCGAUUCCUUUUAUUCAAACGAAAUAUGAGGUCCCAUCUGGCGACCUCCAAAUAGCGAAAUACGAGAUUCCUUCUGGCGAUCUCCUUUAAUCAAUUUGGAAUCCCAUCUGGCGAUUCCUUUUUUUUUUUUUUUUUUCAACAUGAAAAACGAGGUCCCAUCUGGCGACCUUCAAAUAGCGAAACACGAGAUCCCUUCUGGCGAUCUCCUUUAAUCAACUUGGAAUCCCAUCUGGCGAUUCCUUUUAUUCAAACGAAAUAUGAGGUCCCAUCUGGCGACCUCCAAAUAGCGAAAUACGAGAUCCCUUCUAGCGAUCUCCUUCAACUUGGAAUCCCAUCUGGCGAUUCCUUUUAUUCCACAGGUAAUACGAGGUCCCAUCUGGCGACCNNNNNNNNNNNNNNNNNNNNNNNNNNNNNNNNNNNNNNNNNNNNNNNNNNNNNNNNNNNNNNNNNNNNNNNNNNNNNNNNNNNNNNNNNNNNNNNNNNNNCACGAGAUCCCUUCUGGCGAUCUCCUUUAUUAACUUGGAAUCCCAUCUGGCGAUUCCUUUUAACCAACAUGUAAUACGAGGUCCCAUCUGGCGACCUUCAAAUAGCGAAACACGAGAUCCCUUCUGGCGAUCUCCUUUAAUCAACUUGGAAUCCCAUCUGGCGAUUCCUUUCAACAUGAAAUAUAAGGUCCCAUCUGGCGACCUCCUAAUAGCGAAACACGAGAUCCCUUCUGGCGAUCUCCUUUAAUCAACUUGGAAUCCCAUCUGGCGAUUCCUUUCAACAUGAAAUAUGAGGUCCCAUCUGGCGACCUCCUAAUAGCGAAACACGAGAUCCCUUCUGGCGAUCUCCUUUAAUCAACUUGGAAUCCCAUCUGGCGAUUCCUUUCAACAUGAAAUAUGAGGUCCCAUCUGGCGACCUCCUAAUAGCGAAACACGAGAUCCCUUCUGGCGAUCUCCUUUAAUCAACUUGGAAUCCCAUCUGGCGAUUCCUUAUUACCAAAGCUGAUAUCGAUGUCGUUCUUCCUGAUGGCAGGGUUCAAAACUUUUCAUUCUCUCUUUUUCUUGUUCUUCUCGUUGUUCCAGAAUCCACUAUGGUUCAAAACCGUGAUUCUUUGCUAUCAUCCUCUAUGAUUCUUUCUUCGUCUCCAAUCUUGUUGGAAUGCAUCAAGGUCUCCUCCUGUAACGAUCCAAAAAAACAUAUAUGCAAUGAUUCAUGAUUAGAUGCCAUGCAUGCAUUCGUACCUGGUUUUGAAACAUAGGCCCCAUCCUCUUCUUCUAGUUCAUGAGACUCCCUCUUAACAUAAGCUUGCUUUGGAUUCAUCUCUCGUGUUGCCUCCUAUCAUAUCCUUGAAGAAGAAGUCUCUGAAAAAUGUAUGACUUAUCAUUGCCUCUUUGUCAUGCUUUUGUCAAAUGCUUUUAGCUUGGUUUUCAAAUCUAUAGGCUUUCGUAAAACUUUUCAUGAAAACAUCUCUUAUUGCCCCCAGUGUAGGGAUGUGAUUUUAGUCUGGGCUUUUGUAUAAAGAAGAAAUUCGUUCAGCCAAUGCUAAACUUUUUAGGUGCGAUAGCAACAAGACAUGCACUGUUGGGAUUAAUGCAAAAAAAAAAAUGAUUGUUGUGAGAUCAAUGUAAAAGAGAAAGAAGUCAAUGGCCAAACUUUGCUUUAUUGAUUUAGGAGCCUACAUCAAGCAUAAUAUCUUUUUACAGAGUCAAAAUUCACAGGUCGAGCUAGGUCUUCUCCAUCCAUUCUAGCCAACUUCAGCGCUCCUCCUGAGAAUGCCUUCUUUACUACGUAAGGACCCUCGUAAUUCGGUGCCCAUUUGCUUUGAUCGUCUCCAGGUAGUGACAAUAUUUUCUUCAAUACUAGAUCCCCUUCUCGAAACAACCGCGGUCUAACCUUCUUAUCAUAUGCCUUAGCCAUUCGUUUCUGGUAAAGUUGGUGAUGACAUAUUGCAGCUAUCCUCUUUUCGCUGAUCAAGUUCAAUUGCUCAUAUCUCACUUUGGCCCACUCGGCCUCUUCUAAUUCGGAGUCCGUCAACACUCUUAACGACGGGAUUUCUACUUCCAAAGGCAUCACUGCUUCCAUACCGUACACCAGAGAAUAUGGGGUAGUUCCUGNNNNNNNNNNNNNNNNNNNNNNNNNNNNNNNNNNNNNNNNNNNNNNNNNNNNNNNNNNNNNNNNNNNNNNNNNNNNNNNNNNNNNNNNNNNNNNNNNNNNCUCAUGCCAAUCUUUAUACGUGACUACCAUUUUCUGAAUAAUCUUUUUGAUGUUCUUGUUGGCGGCUUCUACUGCGCCAUUCAUUUUCGGCCGGUAUGGCGAGGAGUUCGAAUGCUUGAUCUUCCACUUGGUACACAACUCCACUAUCAUUUUGCCAUUGAAAUUCUGUGCAUUAUCGGUCACUAUCUUUUCCGGAGGACCAUAUCGACAAAUCAGAUCCUUUUCUAUAAACCUCUUCACUACCUUCUGUGUUACAUGGGCAUACGAAUUAGCUUCCACCCAUUUGGUGAAGUAAUCAAUAGCCACGAGGAUGAAUCUAUGACCAUUGCUAGCUUUUGGGUUAACAGGCCCGAUCACAUCAAUUCCCCACAUUGCAAAUGGCCAAGGGGAUAUUAGGUUAAAUAGAGGAGCUGGUGGCAUAUUGACCUUGUCACUGUAAACUUGACAUUUCCUGACAUAAUCGAUACAGUCUUUCUCUAGUGUCAUCCAAAAAUAACCAGCCCUUUGGAUUUUCCUCGCUAUCAUAUGCCCGCUAGCAUGGGUUGAGCAAAUCCCCUCAUGGACCUCCCGUAAUGCCUUUCUAGCAUCUGCCUCAUUCAAACACCUUAGUAGGGUCCCAUCAAAUGAUCUUUUGUACAAAAUCUCUCCAUCUAAAUAGAAGUCUAUAGCCAACCUUCUCAAAGUUUUCUUAUCCGUUUUGGAAGCUCCCACCGGAUAUUCGUGAUUUUGCACAAGGUUCUUGAUAUCAUAAUACCAAGGAUGUCCGUCUAUCUCUUCUUCAACUAAGCAACAGUGAGCUGGGUCAUUUCUAAUGUCAAUGUGUACCGGUUGUACCUUGCACUUGAGAUCAAUGGUAGUCAUAGCAGCUAGCGUGGCCAAAGCAUCCGCAAAAUGGUUCCCCUCCCUUCCCAGAUGGGUGAAUCUAAUUUCUUCAAAUUCCUUUGCUAGCGUGGAUAGGUAUUCCUGGUAUGGCCUCAACUUUUCCUCCUUGGUCUGCCAUUCCCCUUUAACCUGACAGAUAAUCAACAUUGAAUCUCCAUAUACAUCUAACUUCUUUAUCUUCAACUCUCAUGCCGCUUCUAAACCGAGGAUACAAGCUUCAUACUCAGCUGUAUUUGUUGGUGCACUCGAAAUGUAGUUUAACCGAAACUGGAUACUGUUUCUUAUCAGGAGAGAUUAUUACCGCACCGGCCCCGUUACCAUAUACAUUCACUGCACCGUCAAAAAACAUCGUCCACCAAUCUGUCUUUUCUUCUUCUUUCUCUAUUGACAAUAUAUCUUCAUCGGGGAAGUCAAAAUCCAAAGGUUCGUAAUCUUCAACAGCAUUAUCGGCCAGAUGGUCCGCGAUUGCACUUCCUUUUACGGCUUUCCUUGUCAUAUAUAUUAUGUCAUAUUCUGCUAAUAAAACUUGCCACCUUGCAAUUCGACUUGAGAGAAAGGGCUUGUUACAAAUAUACCUCAGAGGAUCCACUUUUGAAAUCAACCAAGUGGUAUAGUAUAACAUAUAAUGUCGCAACCUCUUUGCCGCCCACACCAACGCACAACAAAGCCUUUCUAUCUCCGUGUAUCUAGACUCACAUUCAGUGAAUUUCUUGCUUAGAUAAUAAAUAGCUCUUUCCUUCCUUCCGGUUUCAUCAUGCUGACCCAAUACACAUCCCAUGGCUGCUUCAGUCACUGUUAGAUACAAUACUAGAGGUUUUCCCGAUACCGGAGGAACCAGUAAAGGUGGAUUUUGUAAAUAAUGUUUGAUUUUAUUGAAUGCCUCCUCACACUCCUCAUUCCAGGUUCCAGGAUUCUUUUUCCUUAGUAGUCGGAAUAUAGGUUCACACGUCGUUGUUAACUGAGCUAUGAACCGAGCAAUGUAGUUUAACCUUCCCAAGAAUCCUCUUACUUCUUUCUCCGUCUUAGGGGAUGACAUAGCUUGGAUGGCCCUUACUUUAUCUGGAUCCACCUCUAUACCUCUAUCACUUACCACAAAUCCUAACAGCUUACCCGAUUUAACUCCGAAUGAACAUUUUGCAGGAUUGAGCCUUAAUUCAUACUUCCUCAAUCUCUCAAACAACUUCCUCAAAACUUCAACAUGAUCCUCUCCCCUUUUAGACUUGGCAAUCAUGUCGUCUACAUACACCUCAAUUUCCUUGUGCAUCAUGUCGUGGAACAAAGUCACCAUUGCUCUUUGAUAGGUUGCUCCGGCAUUCUUCAAUCCAAAUGGCAUGACCUUGUAGCAGAACGUCCCCCAAGGUGUGACAAAAGUUGUUUUCGCCUUAUCCUCCGGAGCCAUUUUUAUCUGGUUGUAUCCUGAAAAACCAUCCAUAAAGGAAUAUGUGGAACUCCGGGCAGCGUUGUCCACCAAAACAUCUAUGUGUGGUAGCGGAAAAUCAUCCUUGGGACUAGCUCUAUUCAAAUUCCGAAAAUCCACACAAACUCUAAUCUUCCCCUCCUUCUUAGGCACCACAACAACGUUAGAUACCCAUUGUGGAUAUCUAACUACUUCUAGGAAGCCAGCAUCCCAUUGCUUCUCAAGUUCUGCCUUGACCUUGAUCCAGACAUCUGGGUGGGCCCUCCUCAGCUUCUGCUUGACUGGCUUACAACCUUCUUCCAACGGUAUCUUGUGUACUACAAUAUUUGUAUCAAAACCCGGCAUAUCUUCAUAGGACCAAGCAAAGACAUCUGAAUAUUCUUGUAAUAGGGUGAUCAUUUUUAUCCUUUGUUCAGAAGUAAUUAAGGUACCUAUUUUCAACUCUUUCUUGAGCUGAUCACUACCCACAUUGAUGGUUUCGAGUUCCUCGGCGAUAGGCUUCCAAGUCUGUUCCUGUUGUUCUACUAGCCUGGUGAAUUCACUAAUAUUGCUUUCAUCCCAUUCUUCUUCUUCCAUAGCUAUCACAUGCUCGUUCAAGUUUGGCCAUUUAUUCUUGAUGCUAAAUAUAUAUGAUGUUGUAGGAGAUCCGCUUUCAGGAUUCAUUUUGAAAACCAAUGGAGCUUCUUGGGUCACCCAGUUCUGAAACUUCUCGUCUUGAGCUAACUUGCGCACAAAGGUCUUGGCGGAUACUUCUUCUAUGGUGUAGAUCGUCAGUUGUGGGAGUGCUUCAUCUCCCUUUCUUGCUACUGUCUUCAUGUCAUCUCCUUCCAUCUUGUUUUCCCCCAAGGUAUUUAUGCUCAUGUUUGACAGUUCUUGAUCAAGGCUUUCGGCCUCUUUAUCAUGUUGCAUUAUGUAUGCAGCUUUUGGGAAUGACACGCUAAGGGGAGGGAUUUCUAGUUUUUCUUCCUCUAGCUCUCUUCCUUUGAUUCUAGCCAUCCUUCUUGCCCUUCUCCGACCAGCAGCCCACCGAUAAUCCUCUUGGUUAGGUUGGUACCCUAGCCCAAAUCUUUGAGCAGCACUUUUCAUCUUUGCCAGAUUAACCCCUUCUGGUAUCCCGAUAAUAAGGUUAUACUGAAAUGGGAUCUCGCGGUUCAAGAAGCAUAGACUUGCCAUCCUUGCUGCUUCUGAGAUCCUGGGCCUUCUUAGCACUGUGUUCUCUGGCACCCAGUCGGUGUUCACAAUCUCAAAGGCAUGGAUAUUGUUACCCUUGCAAUCGCCCGCUUCGAUAAAAGGCACAGCUACAUUCUUUGUCAUGGAUACUGUCUCCUCGGCCUUGACAGUUACCAACAUCCCAUUCAUGAUAUACUUCAGGCAUUGGUGCAAUGACGAAGCUACUGCCCCCGCUGCAUGAAUCCAAGGUCUUCCUAACAACAUACUAUAGGAAGGGUGGAUAUCCAUAACCUGAAGUGUUACUAAGAACAUUUGUGGUCCCACAUAUAGCUCCACUUCUAAAGUCCCAAUUAUUGGCCUAGGCGAGUCAUCAUACGCUCUGGCCAUCAUAGUACUCGGCUUUAUAUGGGAUUCGUCGAUCGGCAUUUCUUCCAGCAUGUGCUUUGGCAACACGUUAAGGGCCGAGCCAUUAUCAAUGAGCACUUUUCCUAUGAGGCAAUCCUUGCACCUAACCGUAAUGUAUAAGGGCUUGUUAUGUCCGGUACCUUCAGCAUCAAGCUCAUCAGCCGUGAAGUACAGGUAAUUAGUUGCAUGGAUCCUUCCCACUAGAUGCUCCAUGGUUUUAUGUUCAAUGUCUUGGGGCACAUAUGCCUCAUUCAAUACCUUUUGCAAGGCGUUUCGAUGCGGCUCAGAGCUGAGUAUCAAGGACAUAAGGGAGAUCCUAGCUGGAGUCUUCUUUAGUUGAUCCACUAUGCAAUAUUCGCUAUGCUUGAUCAACUUCAAGAAUUCAUUCGACUUCUCUUCCGUUACUGGCUUAUUAACUUCUAGUGCUUUGUCCAGAUCUACCACUUCUUUGCCCUUUGCCUUCCUCAACUCCUCGGGCGUAAAGCAACGACCACUCCUGGUCAAACCACUUAUCUCAGUUUGGAACAAGGGAAGUGGAGUUUGAACGUUGGAGGCAUAACCGUAAUUGUAAUGCAUGGCAUUGUGGUUUCCUUUUGUGCAGGAAGGUUUGACCAAGAUUAGCCUUGGUGGCCCCUUAGCUGUUUGUUGGAUCCUACAUACUCCUGUCAUCUCAUCUUGACCUUCCAUCAUACUCACCUCACCGCUGCUCUUCAUGGGUUCAAUCCUCAACUCCCCUAUUUUUAGCAUUUUUGCAAUCUUUUCGCAAAACUCGAUGCAAUCCUCAAUAUGAUGUCCAUCUCUUCCAUGGUAUUCACAGUAAUCAUAUCCCUCCAAAUGGCUCUCCACCUUUGUCUUUAGAAAUCCUGAUUGUACCAACAUGUCGUACAACCUCUUCAUGGACACCUUCAACGCCUUGCAUUGAUUUCCCACUUCGAUCAUGCCUAUUCCACUACUAUUUGGGGCAUGCUUAGGCAAUGGGUUUGAAUUAACAUUGGGCUUGUCCUCAAAGGAUACCCAUCCCAUCUUAAUAAGCUCCAACAACCUCUUUUUGAAGGCGUAACAGGUUUCAAUCCCGUGCCUGGGAUUACCCCCAUGGUACUCGCAAGCCAACUCGGGCUUGUACCAAAUUGGGAAUGGUGGUUGUAGUGGUAGUGUAGGGAUAGGAGCUAUUUGUCCAAUGCUCAAAAGUUUGGCGUACAUGUCCUUCAAAGGCAUGGGUAAGGGUGGCAGUUGUUCCGAAGUGUAUUUUGUAUGGGGUCUUUGGUAGUGAUUUUGGUAGUUUGACUGGUUAUUUGUUCGAUUAGGGGAAAAAGGUUGGUUAAAGUUUAUGCAUGAGAAUUGAGAGGUAGGUACUUGAGGAUUAUGGAAAUCUACUCUCUUGCCCUUAUACCCACCUUCCAGAUUGUUAACAUCGCCUUCUCUCUUUCUUCCAAUAAAACCCUUCUUUUCCACUGGCAUCGCUAUUCGCCCAGCUUUAAUCCCUUGUUCUAUCCUUUCAGCUAUACGUACCGCAUCAUAGAAAUGUUGAGAGGAGCUACCCAUUAGGUGCUCAUAAUAAGGUGCUUUGAAGGUAUUGGCAAACAAGCUCACCAUCUCCGUUUCUAUCAAAGGGGGUUGGACAUGCAUUGCCUCAUCCCUCCAUCUUUGCGCAUAAGCCCUUACUGACUCCUGGCUCCUUUUCUCCAUUGCCAUUAGACUUGUUCGAUCAGGAGCGAUUUCCAUGUUAAACUUGUACUGUUUGAGGAAAGCCUCCACCAAGUCUCUCCAGCUCUUGAUCCUGAUGCUGUCUAACCUCAUGUACCAGCUCAAAGCGGAUCCUGCUAGGCUAUCUUGAAAGAAAUAGAUUAGCAAUUUAUCAUCACGGAUUACUUCCGCCAUCUUGUUGCAGUAGGAUCGAAGGUGAGUGUUUGGGCAUUCCAAACCGGUAUACUUAAUGAACUCUGGUAUUCGAAAAUCUUUUGGUACCACGAUGUUUGGUACCAAACAUACUUCGGCUGCUCGCAUAGGGUCAAACCAGUCAUUACCCUCAACUGCCCUUAAUCUUUCUUCUAGAGCAAAUAGCUUGUCUUGGUCCAUCACACUAGGAGACCUAUUAUCUGGGACUCCCUCCGCUGUUAAGUCCACAGUGAUUGGAGCGUGAGUUGGCUGGAUAGGGGUGAUAGGCACAAAAUGUUAUUCAUUGGCCGAGUUUGCCCCCUGGUUUUGGGAUACUUGAGGGACGUGCGCUGCUGGCGCUCCUUCAGGCUGUUGUGCUGAUGUUCCCUCCCCGUUCUUAGCUCUUAGAAGCUGCUCAAGUAAAUCAGUUAACCGAGAAACUUCAUUUUUUACGGACUCCAACUCGGUCUGAUAAUGUGACUCUAAGUGAGCUCUCUCUUCGUUCUCCAUUCUUGCUCUAGACCGGGUGUUGUGGACUUUGGAUGCGGGACCUAUGUUUCACGAUCUGACAUGCAUAUGAUUCAUUAAAAACAAAUGCGUGAUGAAAAUAUGAUGCUCGUGCAAAUGUAUAUUUUAAAGUUGAUUCAUGACUUUCGUAAUCCUUUAGGCAAGAUUUCUGAGUUGACCCGAUUGCUGUAAAGGAGGGUUUGCCAAGUUCUUAUCAUUGUAGCUUACCAAAACAUUUUAGAAAGAAAGAUAGGUCAUGGCCUUCUUAUAAAUAGAAGUCAUUCAUACAAUGAUUACAAAACAGGGCGUUAUACAUUGUUACCCUUUAAAAGGCGUUUCCCCUAUUAGCUAAGUCCCCAAUAAAACAUGUGAUGGCUGCCAUGUAUUCCCGAUACUUUGAAGCAUCAUUUCCAACUUGGGUAGCUUGUCGUUGCAACCUUUCCGCAUAACGGGCUACUUGCUCGACCUGCUUCGUUAUAUGCCUUAUCUUAUCAUGGAACACAGUGUUAUCUGCAAUUAUCACUUCGUUGCUGGCUCCUAGGGCUUCAUUACUUCUUUCCAAUACUCGAACCAUAUCCUCCGACCGGGCCAACUUAUCCCUUACCCUCUGUAGUUCUUCCUUUUCGAGAUCCAGUUCGGCUAUUUUGGAAUUAAUUUGGACUGUAAAGCUGUUCAUGUAGUCUUGACAUUCUUGACGCUCUUGCUUAGCCUUACCGAGCUCCUCUUCCAUCUCGAAGUAAUGGCUUCUUAUCUCUUUUAACUCUUCUUCUCGUAUCUCGAUCUCCGAUUGUAAAGCCAUCAUCCUUCCUUUUGAAGACUCGGCUCUUUUCUGGUAAUCUCUCAUAUCAGACUCUACAGCCUUUCUUGAACUUCUCUCUUCCUCCAGUUGCAUCAUAUAUUGAGCUCUGAUCCUUCUUUCCUCUUCUAUGUCGAGCUGGGCUAGCCGAUUCUUCUCCUUUUCAACUUCUAUUUUCUUUGAAAGAAUGCUCUUUCCCUUCUUUAAGGAAUCCAUCACCUCUUUGUCAACAUUCAUCUUGCCUUUUGUUGAUCUUUUAACCUUUGCCAACUCUUUUUCUGCGAGCCCAUUCUUCUUAACCAGCUCAUCAUAUUCGGUCAUUCGUUUCUUUAGCUCAGCCUGGACCCCUUUUGCUAUUUCUUCCGCUACCUCGGCCCUUUUCUGCCAUUCCUUUAAAGAUGUCAAUUGCUUAUCCUGUUUUUCCAAUUGCUGGUUCAAGUAAACCCUCAUCGUGUUUUCUUCCUCUAAUUGAUUUUCUAACAGUCGCAGCUGCCUUUUGCUCUUGCUGAGAUCAAUUCUACAUUGUUCUAGCUGCUUUCUCAGCUCUUCCUCAAUAUCAGUCCUUUUCCUUUUUGGUUGCUCUAUUGCGGAUUCUGGAUGUUUUGGUAUGGAGAAACCCCUUUCUUCAGAAAGCUCUUCAUUCCUCCAAACUGCAUAAUUCUGGCUGAAUGAUGUUUCAAAUGUGCUCCCUUCUUCCUUUUUUACCAUCAGGGGUCUUUCCCAAUCUUGUCGGAUAAGCUCCAUUUCUUUGAGGAAGGGUUGGUGCUUGAAUAAACCGAUGAAAUCCGCUAAACCCAGAGUUCUUGGCGCGUACUGCAUUCCACCCAACUGUCUUGUUACUAGGGCGGGCGCGUAACUGAUGUACCCGGUUAUACCAAUCAAGGGAACCCAUAUCUUAUUUCCACAGCUCAUUGUGCAGAUGGCAUUGUUCAUCCAUGGUGCUUUCCAUUUAAAAUUGCUCUUUGGUAAUGCCGCAUAUUUAUCUAUCCAUGCUUUCUCAUCCCAAUUCUUCCAAGUCUCAUCCAUGGUAACCUUUAAUGGUCGCAGGUCAAACCACCAAAAGUUGUUAAAAAUGUCCCUUGGUGUUUCGAUAUGACUGAUAAUCCAUAAAUACAACAUAGGGGCGCAACACCUCAUGGCUCCUUUUCCAUGCAUUCUGCAGUGGUUGAGCGAUAACAUGGUUUCUCCCAAAAUAGCUGAUGAGGGGUUGAUCCGGUCACGUUCGUAUUCUAUGAAGACACUUGCUGCUUCCAAACUGAUGACUCCAAUUUCGGAAGGGAACAAUACUAGCCCAAAAAUGGCGAAGGCCACCAACCUGUAUCGUUCCUCUCCUAACUUGCCUUCUUCAGCAUUUUUCUUCAUUCGGGCUUCUAUGACCUUCCAUUUGAAACCCCCCUCGGCGACUCUACAUUGACUGAUCUUUCCCAAGCCUAAUAAACUGACUACCUCCGAAGCUGUGUCUUCAAAUCUUCGCCUUAGAUAGAUCCUGUGGCUGUUGUUUGGAAAAUCUAGAAUCCUUUCAUAUUCCUCCAAAGUCGGUGUCAUAUCAAUGUUCCCAAAGGUAAAACUCCGAUAACUAGGAUCCCAAAAAUUCAGUAGGGCUUUGAUUGCUGCUGCUUGUACGGGUAACCUCAUUAGUUGUGCAAUUCUCCCAUAUCGCCUUUCAAAAAUAGUCUCAUCAAUGUAUUCCAUAAUAGACACUAACUUCCCCAAGUCAUUUACCAUGUGAUUUAUCUUAGUAAUGCAAGGCAACCUACUAGCAUCGAUUCUUGGGCAUUUUCCUUCAGCUACUUGAGUCAACUCAGAUUCUUGCCCAAACUCUUGGAAAGAUAGGUACUUAGUCAUGAUUUGGUUCAAAACCUGGAUUGAUGAUUUUAACAUUAUUAAACAUGAUGCAAAUGAACAUAAGAUAGAUAUCCUAAGGACAAGUUCUAAUUAUUAGGUGAGAAUGGGUAGGUUUUCUAUCUGGUCUUUAAAAGGGUCUCAUAUCUGCCCAGUGACGUUCUUCGUAAAGACAGUAUGGGGGCGUUGCAAGGAACAGUUAAGGUAAGUAUACCCACCAUUACCAAGCAGGCACUCAGAUAUGAGUUGGGUGUUUCACGCAUCUGAACCCUGACCGAUAGUCAUAGGGCAAAUCGCUAAUCCCCCACCUAACUUAAAGCUUUGUGUGUGCUUCUCAAAAAGUAUGUGAUGCAUAUGAGUUGGGUGUUUCACGCAUCUGAACCCUGACUAUACAAAUGCAUGAACAAUAUGCGUAAAAAUAUUUAAAGCAUAUAAGCAGAUAACAAAAGGAAAGGUAUAUUAAAAAACACACGAAAACAAAAACAAUUCAGACAAAAACAAAGCUUAGUCCACAAGGUCCCCAGUGGAGUCGCCAUUCUGUCGCGGGUGCGCGGCGUCGCGGCGAAAAUUCCACUUUUAAAAUCUAGGAAGUGUGUAUGGUAUCUAUCUGGCAAAUAUGGAGAGACAAGAAAAUAUUGUCUUUUGUUGGUAGGAAAAUGGAAUGGGAGUCGCCACCUAGUAUUUUGGUCACUAGGAACCCUAACUGGUCUCAGAGAUUGGGUACGGGGACUGGUUGCGUAAAGGGAAGGUAUUAGCACCCCAAAUAUGCCCUACCUAAGGUAAGCUGCAUUGUUUAUUUGUCUGAUAAAAUUCAAGGUCUCGUUGUGUUUCCUAGUUGUUGGUCCGUCUAUGGUUCAAGAAAAGUCCUCCUCAAUAAGGAGGUCCUUAUCUUAAGGGGUAAAACCUAACCGUUCUAACGUCUAUGAAAAACCAUAUUUUUAAUAUCAGGAAUACGUCUUACGUAUAAAUUCGUAAUCCCAAAUACUAAAAGAAGACAAAAAGAUUUUUUUAGAAUUUUUGAAAUAUUGGCCUAGUUCUCAUGGCUUGAAUAAACUGGUUAUAAAAUACUAAAAGAAGACAAAAAGAUUUUUUUUGAAUUUUUGAAAUAUUGGCCUAGUUCUCAUGGCUUGAAUAAACGGGUUAUUAAAGCCAAAAUGCAUACUAAUACAUAUAUUGUUUUGAAAUUUUCUUUGUUGUGUGAAAAAUAUGAUGUUAUAAUAUUUAUAUAUAUAUAUUGGAGAGACUAGGCCGUAUGCAUGAAAACAAAACAUUUUUAAAAUAUUUUAUUUUAUUUUUUUAUGUCUUGACGAAAACCGGGUAUUUGAAUACCGGAUUUGUAUCCUUACAGUAUAAAAAUACAAACCGAUAUUGAUCAAAAUACAGUAAUGAACUUGCAGAAAAUCACAUAUUUUUUUGGAAUAAUUUUCGACGAAAUUAAAUAAUUUUUCUAUGUAUAUAUCUAGAUAUAAAUAAUACAAACACAAUAUAAUAUACAUAACAUAUAAUAUAUAAUUGGGUUGGGUUGGGCCGGCCCAACGAACUGGGCCGGACUCAGCCCCAAAAGGUGUUGGGCCGAUCCUGGCCCAACAAAAAUCUGGUAUUUUUCUUCUGGGCCGGACCCUACCCGGAAGGCAGAGCUGGGCCAGGAUCAGCCGGGCCCAGCAACAAAACUAACUGGGCCAGAACAAGUCUGGCCCAGCACAAGAAACCAACGGGGGGAAUUAUUUUCCCCCCAUCCUCCUGCAUGCAGACCGAAGGUUCUGCAUGCAGAAGGAAACGCAAGAGAAGAAAAUGAAAUGAGGGGGAAGGGAAGUUUACCUGGCGCGGCAGAGGCGGUUUCUUUGCUGGCGUGCACUGGUCCCGGCUGGAAGAAGAAGGAGCAGAUUCCUGCAGAGGAGAAGGAAAGCUCUCGGCUGGAGCUGUUGGUGUGACUGAGGAAGGAGCUGCUACUCCGGUUGCUGCUGGGCGUCGCUGGAGGAAGGAGGACUGCUGUUGGCCAGUGAAGAGGCUGGAAGGCGGAGGCUUGCUCCUGUGGAGGCUGUCGCUGCUGAGGAGAUGAUGGGGACGGCUCUAUGGUGGAGGAACUCGGCUGCUGUUAUGGGGUUCUCCAGGUGUGGCUGGCGGCUGGAAGGGAAAUGGGGCUGCUGUGAUUUGGCCGGGGAGGGAGGUCGAUGGAAGGGAACAGCUGGGAUGGAGAGGGACGUUACUGCUGCUGUUCAGCCGCUGCUGGGGCCGAAUGGAGGAGAGACCUGGCUAUGGAAAUGAGGGAGUGAGGGGAGACUGUUCUGUCAAAAAGAGGGGCGAGUGAAAGGGAGAUAGGGGAAUGCAGAGGAGGAUCCUCUGGUUUGGGAAAAGAAGCUGGAAAUGAGGGCCGGUUGCAGGAAAACAGGCAGGAAAGCUUAUUUUGUGCCAACUUUGAGCUCUCCUUUUGCCAACCCUUUGAGCAUGAAAAUUGAUCCUAUUUAUAGGGCCGGACAGAGGGUAAUCUCGUCUUCAAUGGGAAAAACGUCCCAGCCCUUGAUUCGCCUUGAGUAAUUCAAACCGUUGGUUCAAAGUGUGCACCUCGAACUGCUAAAUUUGCAGACUGCCCGAGGUGCACGAUUUGGGCCAAAAAACGGAGCUGUUCCAAACCUUUUUGACCCGACCGGACCACUCCCCAGGAUAAAUGUGUUCCAGGUGGACAUGUCGGUGCAUGCUUUGUCGGAUUUGGGGGCCAAACAAGGCAGCAAACACGCCUGGAAGUCGGCCACUCGGGCAGCUCGGCGGGGAAGACAGUGAACAGUACCGGGCGAUGCGUCGCCUGGUUCCUGCCUCUUUUUUUAAGUGCAAAACGGUGCCGUUUUGAUAAAAAUAGGGAUUUCUUUGCCAAUUUUCAAUUUAGUCCUCCGACUUUCAAUUUCGUUCAAUAUUAUUCCCUAAUUGACCCUAAAACUUCUGAUUUGAUGCAAUUUAGUCCCGACAUAACUUCACCUUCGGCCCCAAAGUUACGCGCCUUUUGCAAUAUGGUCCUUGGUCUCGGAUUUAUGCAAUUUCAUCCCUAAUUGGCCAUUAAACUUUCAAUUUCUUCAAUUUGGCCCCCGGAUUUUGUUAAUUGCAGCCCCUAUACUUGCGCGCCUUUUCCAAUUUGGUCCUUGGUUUCAGAUUUCUUCAAUUAAGUCCCCAAUUGGCCCUUAAACUUCAAUAUUUAUGCAAUUAGGCCCCUGAUUUGACCUAAUAAAUUCCUAAAAAAUAUAUUUUAGCCCCAGAACUUAAAUUUCUUCUAAUUAAAGCCCAAAUUGACUUAAAAAUCAAUUUUUCUUACAAUCAAAUCUCCUAUAAAUUCAUUUAAGAAUCCAAUUAAGUCCAUAAACAUCCAAAUUUGGGCUUUUCUCCUCAAAUUUCAAAUUUCCCUUCUCAACAGGGCUCUCCUCCUUCAAGAAUAUACUGUCAAAAAUCCAAUCUUUGUAUUUUUACCCUCCUUGACCAAUUUUCCAACCAUUUUCUGAGCGCUUCUGCCUCCUGUUAUUUUCCUAACCUCCUUUGGCUAUAUAUUUUUAUAUAUAUUUUGCGGGGACCCAAAAAUGGGUUACAACAGUAACCAGUCAUUUUUUUUUUGUUUCUUCGGUGGGCUGGAACAUCAGCCCAGCCCGCGCGGCUGGGCUGAGUCCAGCCCUGUUUUCUGCAGGCUGGAACAUCAGCCCAGCCCACGCGGCUGGGAUGAGUCCAGCCUAGUGGCUGGGCCAAUACAGACCCAGCCCAGCCCAGUCCAUUUUAUUUAUUUAUUUGUUCUUCUUUUCUCCUUUUUGUUUUUGUGUGUUUUUUUUUAUUAUUAUCUAUAUAUAUUUUUGAAAGUUGUGAUUUUCCCACAGAUUUUUUUACGUCAUUUCGACUAAUAUUGGUCUGUAUUUUUAUAUCUUAAAAAUACAAAUCCGGUAUUAAAAAUACCCGGUUUUCAAAAAAAAAAAAACUUUUGUUUUCAUGCAUACGGCCAAGUCUGUCAAAGCUAAAAAACUCAUGUUGUAUUUUUUUAUACAACAAAGAAAAAUUCAAAAAAUAUAUAUUAUUUUAGCAUGCAUUUUGGCUUUAAUAACCAGUUUAUUAAAGUCAUGAGAACUUUGGCCAAUAUUUCAAAAAAUCAAAAAAAUAUAUAUAUUUUUUUAUGUCUGGGAUUACGAAUUUAUACAUAAAACGUAAUCCUGAUAUUAAAAAGGUAGUUCUUUUAUAGACAUUAGACCGGUUAAGUUUCGCUCCAUAAGAUAAGAACCUCCUUACUAGAAGGGCUUUUCUUGAACCAUAGACGGACCAACAUGAUAAGACCUUGGAUUUUUUUAUCAGACAAUAAAACAAUGCAGCUUACCUUAGGUAGGGCGUAUUUGGGGUGCUAAUACCUUUCUUUUACGCAACCAGUCUCCGUACCCAAUCUCUGAGACCAGUUAGGGUUCCUAGUGACCAAAAUACUAGGUGGCGACUCCCAUUCCAUUUUUCACCGCUAAGAGACAAAGAAUUCCUUGUCUCCCCAUAUUUACCAGAUAUAUAUCCAUACAUUUGAGGGUGGACGAUCGUCGCGACGCCGCACACGCGCGACACCUUACAUACUCAAGGCACUUGGAGUCUUGUUCCAUUACCAGCAAAGAGGAACUUGGUGGGAUGCAGGUGGAUUUUCAAGAUUAAACGUCAUUCAGAUGGGUCUAUUGCUAGACACAAAGCACGGUUGGUUGCUAAAGGGUUUAGUCAGGAACCUGGCUUGGAUUAUGGUGACACCUUUAGUCAUGUGGUGAAACCUGCCACCGUUCAACUAGUUCUUGCCUUUGCUGCUCAUUUCCAUUGGCCUCUCAGACAAUUAGAUGUCAAAAAUGCAUUCUUGCAUGGCAUUAUUCAAGAAGAGGUUUACAUGUCCCAGCCCCUUGGCUUUGAAGAUUCAUUGCAUCCUCAUCAUGUGUGCAAACUGCAUAAGUCCCUCUAUGGCUUAAAACAGGCACCUAGGGCCUGGAUGAUCACUUUACUCAGUUUCUGCCUUUCUUGGGGUUUGCCACCACCUAUUUUGAUUCAUCCUUGUUUGUCAAGCAUGUUGGUUCUCAGAUUGUGGUCCUGUUACUUUAUGUGGAUGAUAUUAUCCAUACAGGAAGUACGUCUGUUGCGAUUCUACAGGUUAUCCGAGCUCUCACCACUGAGUUUGAUAUCACAGAUUUAGGCUCCCUUCAUUUUUUCUUAGGGAUACAAAUCACUCACACGUCUACUAGCUUGUUCCUGUCACAAUCUAAAUAUAUUGAGGAUUUGCUGCUUAAAUCUAAGAUGGUUGAUGCUAAACCAUGUGAUACUCUAUGUCUUCCUUCUCAUCGCCUACUUAAAAAAGAUGGGGCGCCGUAUCCUAAUCCUACAGUAUAUCACAGCAUUGUAGGGGCUCUGCAGUACUUAACCUUCACACGACUGACAUUACAUUUUCUGUGCAUCAAAUUUAUCAAUUUAUGCAGAAUCCGAUGGUGUCUCAUUUCACUGCUGUGAAACGAAUUUUACGCUACCUUAAAGGCACACUGCAUGUUGGUAUUUCUUCCACUAAAGGAGAUUUGUAGUUAAAGGCGUUCAGUGAUGCUGAUUGGGCAGGGGACCCUACUAACAGACGUUCUACUACUGGCAUGGUGAUCUUUUUGGGAAACAAUCCUAUAUCAUGGUCCUCCAAAAAGCAACACACCGUGUCCAAAUCAUCAACAGAGGCUGAGUAUCGUGCUUUAUCCUUUACUACAGCUGAAGUGGAUUGGCUCAAGCAGUUAUUAGCUUUUAUGCAUAUUUCCUUACCUCAUGUUCCUGUUCUUUUCUGUGAUAAUCUCUCUGCCAUUCCUCUAUCCUUUAAUUAUGUUCAGCAUCAACGGACCAAACACUUUGAGGUUGAUGUGCAUUUUGUUCGUGAACGCGUUUCAUAAAAGCAAUUGUCAGUUCAAUUUGUUGUUAUGUAUGGACACAAUAUGGUUGUUGGCUGCCAUGUCAAACAUGGCUGCAAGGUGAAGGUCAAGAGUGGUUGCCAAAAUAUUGAAAAUGGUGGCUGCUAUAAUUGACUAAAUGGAGAGGAUUGUCUCCCAUAUCAGCUAUAUAUAGAGGAUGCUAUUGAGAGCUGAGAGGUGUGUAUGAAAUAGAGAGAAACACCGUGAGAGAGCUAGAGAGAGAGUUGAGUUGAGUAGAGAAGAAUUUUCUCCUCCUCCUUGUUUUAUUGUUUGUAUUGUUUCUAAGCAAGAUUAAUACAAACUAGUAGCUCCGUGGAGUAGACAAGUUGUCGAACCACGUAAAUUUGUGUGUGUUUGAUUUCUGGAAUAUCCUAACAACUGGUAUCAGAGCUUGUUCUUGAAAAAGAGGGUGUUUGAUCCAAACCCAGAAAUCAAAGUUGUCAAAACGUCUUUGUAACCAUACCAUCGUGUAAAGGACGACGAGCCGAAUCCACUGGUGAAAACCCAGCGAAGAACCGACGUCCUGCAUGCCCACACGCGCCGACGACAGCACUGCCCACGCGCUACACGCACUCCACGCGUCUUCUUCGCCCGAAUUCCUGCAACUGAACCGGGUUGACCCGCAACGUCAUCAGCCGCGCCAGCAAUUCUGCACAGUCAUCCGCCACGCCAUCAGUCCAGUCAACAAGACACGUCAGCUAAUGCCACGUCAGCUAAUGCCAGGUGCUCCUGCGCCACGUCAUCACUUGUGGGCCCGGAUUGAUACGUGGAUGCCACGUCAUAUAGACACGUCAUCCUAUUGGGUUUUGUUUCAGUGCUUCGCAGACUCUAUUUUGCCUUGACACGCGGCUUCAUCUGCACCGUCGGUUGACCCAAAACUUUGAUUGAUAAGAUCUAAGCCAUCGGAAGUCCGAUUUGGGUGAUCUUAGUGUCGUUUCCAAUAUUUUUGGCCGUUCCGGACACAUCUAUAAGGUCAGAUUUGAAAAAUUCAAAUCCGAGAUGUAUUAAAAAUGGCAGAUGAAAUAAAGGCUGCAGGAAUUGAAAAAUUUGAUGGGACAGAUUUUGGAUAUUGGAAAAUGCAAAUUGAAGACUAUCUAUAUGGGAAGAAACUUCAUCUUCCUUUGUUGGGGAGCAAACCAGAGAAUAUGCCAGAAGAAGAUUGGCAAAUUCUUGAUAGACAGGUUUUGGGCAUUAUCCGGCUAUCCUUGUCAAGAAGAGUUGCUCACAAUGUUACAAAAAAAAAAUCAACUGCAAGAUUAAUGGAAGUCUUGUCCGGGAUGUAUGAGAAGCCCUCAGCAAAUAAUAAAGUGCACUUGAUGAAGAAGUUGUUCAACUUGAAGAUGACAGAAAGCACCUAUGUUACACAACAUCUCAANNNNNNNNNNNNNNNNNNNNNNNNNNNNNNNNNNNNNNNNNNNNNNNNNNNNNNNNNNNNNNNNNNNNNNNNNNNNNNNNNNNNNNNNNNNNNNNNNNNNAUACCAUCACAAAUCAAUUGUCAUCUAUUGAGAUUGAGUUUGAUGAUGAGAUCCGUGCACUCAUUUUGCUAGCUUCACUUCCAAGCAGUUGGGAAGAUAUGAGGACAGCCGUAAGCAACUCAGCUGGAAAAUCCAAACUGAAAUAUGAUGACAUCCGAGACUUGAUUUUAGCUGAAGAAGUGAGAAGGAAAGACUCAGGUGAAAGUUCAAGUUCAGGUUCAGCUCUCAACAUCAACACUCGAGGGAGGAGACAGGAUAGAGGCUCAUCCAGAGGCAGAUCCAAAUCAAGAUACAGAAGUAAAAGCAAGUUCGGACCCAGAAAGCAGGUUGAAUGUUGGAAUUAUGGCAAACCUGGUCAUUUCAUGAGGAAUUGCACAAAACCAAAAAAAACCUGAAGCUGACUCUGCAAACGCUACCACAGAUGAGGUGCAAGACGCUUUGAUUCUUGCUGUACAAAGUCCAAUUGAUGAUUGGAUCCUUGAUUCUGGUGCUUCAUUCCAUUGUACACCACACCAUGAAAUGAUGCAAAACUAUGUUGCUGGAGAUCAUGGUGUAGUCUAUCUGGCCGAUGGACAACCAAUGGAUAUUGUGGGUAUAGGAGAUGUGCAAAUCAAGACACUGAAUGGAUCUACAUGGAACUUGCAAAAUGUAAGGCAUGUCCCUGGACUAAAGAAGAAGUUGAUCUCAGUCGGACAACUUGAUAACAGUGGUCAUUCAAUUCUUUUUUCUGGAGGUAUGUGGAAGAUCUCAAAGGGAGCAAUGGUUUUAGCUCGUGGAAAGAAAACUGGCACCCUGUAUAUGACCACAAGAUUUGCAGACAUUAUUGCCUCUACUGAAGCAGAAAAUCAAGCACAGUUAUGGCACUGUAGACUCGGCCAUAUAAGUCAAAAGGGGAUGAAGAUACUUCAAUCGAAGGGAAAGCUGCCAGAGCUUAAAAAUGUUGAUCUAGACAUUUAUGAAAGUUGUGUUCUUGGAAAACAAAAGAAGCUCAGUUUCUUAAAGGUUGGCAGGACCUUAAGACCAAGAAAGCUAGAACUGGUACACACAGAUUUAUGGGGACCUUCUCCAGUGGCAUCUCUUGGAGGUUCUCGGUAUUAUGUGACCUUCAUUGACGAUUUCAGCAGGAAGGUAUGGGUCUACUUUCUGAAAAAUAAAUCUGAUGUGUUUGAAACAUUCAAGAAAUGGAAGACUAUGGUUGAAACUGAAUCAGGUCUGAAGUUGAAAUGCUUAAGAUCUGAUAAUGGAGGAGAAUACAUUGAUGGAGGUUUCAAAGAGUAUUGUGUUGUCAAUGGUAUCAGAAUGGAAAAGACCGUUCCAGGCACACCGCAACAGAAUGGCAUUGCUGAACGAAUGAACCGGACCAUCAAUGAACGAGCUAGAAGCAUGAGGUUGCAUUCAAGGCUACCUCAAACAUUCUGGGCUAACGCAGUUCAUACUGCAGUUUACUUGAUCAACCGUGGACCAUCAGUUCCUUUGGAGUUCAGAUUGCCCGAGGAAGUAUGGAGAGGAAAAGAGGUACAACUCUCUCAUCUAAAGGUCUUUGGGUGUGUUUCCUAUGUUCAUAUAGAUUCUGAUGCUCGCAACAAGUUAGAUGCCAAAUCCAAGAAAUGUUUCUUCAUUGGCUAUGGAGAUGAAGAAUUUGGGUUUCGGUUCUGGGAUGAUCAGAACAGAAAGAUUAUCAGAAGCAGGAACGUGAUCUUCAAUGAGAAAGUUUUGUACAAAGACAAAUCAAAUGUAGAAACAGAUAUGGCUGAUUCAGAUGCAAAUCCACAAAGAUUUGAAUUCAUAAGAAUAGAAGGGCUUCCCGAUGUUAUCGAGCAGAACAAAAAUCAAGAGUCUUUACAAGAAGAUUCAAGCAUAUCUGUACCCACUACUACACAGGCAGAUGCGGAACCAAGUGAACCGACUAUUUAUGUUCGCAGGUCUUCAAGGACUAUAAAGCCCCCACAACGGUUCACACUUCUACUGAAUUAUAUUUUGCUAACAGAUGGUGGUGAGCCGCUAAGUUAUGAAGAAUCUUUACAAGAUGGAAACUCAAGCAAGUGGGAGUUAGCCAUGAAGGAUGAGAUGAGUUCGUUGCUGAAGAACAAGACCUGGGACCUAACCACACUACCUGAAGGAAAGGAGGCUUUGCAAAACAAGUGGGUCUACAGAGUAAAUACUGAGCAUGACGGAAGCAAACGGUUCAAAGCAAGACUUGUUAUAAAAGGGUUCCAACAAAAGAAAGGGAUUGACUACUCUAAGAUAUUUUCUUCAGUUGUGAAGCUCACAACAAUCAGAGUUGUCNNNNNNNNNNNNNNNNNNNNNNNNNNNNNNNNNNNNNNNNNNNNNNNNNNNNNNNNNNNNNNNNNNNNNNNNNNNNNNNNNNNNNNNNNNNNNNNNNNNNUUUGAACAAUUAGAUGUAAAAACAGCAUUUCUUCAUGGUGAAUUGGAGGAAGACAUUUACAUGCAACAACCAGAGGGGUUUGCAACACAAGGAAAGAAGAACCAAGUCUGCAAGUUAAAGAAAAGCCUAUACGGUUUGAAGCAAGCUCCAAGACAGUGGUACAAGAAGUUUGACAACUUCAUGUGUAGUUCGGGAUACACAAGAUGUCAGGCUGAUCAUUGUUGCUAUGUCAAACAUUUUGACAACUCCUACAUCAUUCUACUAUUAUAUGUGGAUGAUAUGUUGAUUGCAGGAUCCAGCAUUGAGGAGAUUGACAAGCUGAAACAACAAUUGUCAAAACAGUUUGAAAUGAAGGAUCUGGGAGCUGCUAAACAAAUACUUGGCAUGAGAAUCAUCAGAGAUAAAGACAAAGGCAUACUAAAGCUUUCACAAACAAAGUAUGUCAAGAAGGUUCUCAGCAGGUUUAGUAUUGAUAAUGCUAAACCAGUAAGUACACCUCUGGGGAAUCAUUUCAAGCUCAGCAAAGACCAGUCACCAAAAACUGAGCUAGAAUGUGGAUACAUGGAUAUGAUUCCAUACGCCUCAGCUAUCGGCUUUUUGAUGUAUGCUAUGGUCUGUACCAGACCAGACAUUGCCCAUGCAGUGGGAGUUGUAAGCCGAUAUAUGAGCAAUCCUGGAAAGCAGCAUUGGGAGGCGGUAAAAUGGAUCAUGAGGUACUUAAAAGGUUCCUCGGAGACUUGUCUUACCUUCACAGCUGGUGGUUUGAAACUUGAAGGUUUUGUAGACGCUGAUCUAGCAGGAGAUGUUGAUAGCAGAAAGAGCACUACAUGAUAUGUAUACACUCUAGGAGGCACUGCUGUUUCUUGGAGUUCUACCUUGCAAAAGAUCGUCGCUCUUUCAACAACAGAAGCUGAAUAUGUUGCAGUCUCAGAAUCUGCAAAGGAGAUAGUAUGGCUACAGAGUUUUCUAAAAGAAUUAGGCAAGAUGAAUGGAAAGGGUACUUUGUAUAGUGACAGUCAGAGUGCAAUCUUCCUUGCCAAGAAUCCAGCAUUUCACUCCAGGACAAAGCAUAUUCAGAUCAAAUAUCACUUCAUCCGACAAUUGUUAGACGAUGAGCAACUAAUGCUAGAAAAGGUCUGUGGAAGCAAGAAUCCAGCUGACAUGUUAACCAAAGGAGUCACUCUUGAUAAACUGAAGCUGUGUAAAGCUUCAGUUGGCGUCCAAGGUUAAGAUGGAUAUAGCGCCAUUUGUGUCCAAGUGGGAGAUUGUUAUUUAUGGACACAAUAUGGUUGUUGGCUGCCAUGUCAAACAUGGCUGCAUGGUGAAGGUCAAGAGUGGUUGCCGAAAUAUUAAAAAUGAUGGCUGCUAUAAUUGACUAAAUGGAGAGGAUUGUCUCCCAUAUCAGCUAUAUAUAGAGGAUGCUAUUGAGAGCUGAGAGGUGUGUAUGAAAUAGAGAGAAACACCGUGAGAGAGUUAGAGAGAGAGUUGAGUAGAGAAGAAUUUUCUCCUCCUCCUUGUUUUAUUAUUUGUAUUGUUUCUAAGCAAGAUUAAUACAAACCAGUAGCUCCGUGGAGUAGGCAAGUUGCCGAACCACGUAAAUUUGUGUGUGUUUAAUUUCUGAAAUAUCCUAACAUUUGUCUCCUCACAUAAACAGUUUGCAAAUAUCCUCAUAAGAGGUUAAGUGCCCCUCUAUUCUUACUCAUUGCUGCAAUCUCAGACUUGUCUAAUCUUGAGGGGGAUGUUAGAGUACAGUGCGCAGAAUGAUGAUAAAUGUAAUCUUGAUUAAUAAAUCUGUUAGUUAGUUAGAAAAAUUAGUUAUAUGCAGCUAAGUUAUAACUAACUAACUACAGAAACAGUAAGAAUUGAAUAACAGAAAAGAAAAAGAUUAACAAGUUUUUUCAUUUUCUCUCGUCUCUCACUGAACCUCUCUGUAUAUACAACAAUAGAUACACGUUAACACACGGCUACUCUUACGAGCUUCCGAUCAUAAGGCACUACUCAUGAAAUGUAUUGAUCUUUGAACGCUAUAGCUUCGAAAUAUGUUCUCUUUAUUGCUCUCUAUAUGACUCUCAUUCCUUGAGUUUACAAAUGAGGGAGAGACUCCUUAUAUACUAGCUAUGAGGCGGUGAGAUAGAAUAGCUUCAGGAUUAAGAGAUAGAAUAAAGAAAAGAACCGGGUGCUUCUUUGGGCCCCAUCGUCAUUCUUUUUCCUUUUCUAUUCUUUCCUUAGGCUAGAGGGGAUUCUAAAAGCUCACGAAAGAAAAGAUAGUGGGGGACAGCUUUAUCUACAGCUGUCCUAAAGUUAAUAUUCUACAUUCUUGCCUUAAUGUUUAAGGCUUUACAUUUUGGUAGCUUUGCUAACUUCUUUGAUAAUCUCUUGCUCUUCUUCUUGCACUUGGGUAUACCAAUCUUUUUUAGGUGCUGAUGAAGAAGAGGCUUUGCCUGCUGUAGCUGGAACGAAGUCUUCCUUGUUGAGAGUGAAGCUUCCAUCUUCGUAGAUAGGAUUUGGCGUUUCGCCCCCGGCUUCGUUGUUCUCCGUCUGAUCUUUGUCAAUGGGAGGAAGGUCGUCUUCUGGUAAGUCGAUGAGGUUUCUCAUCUCCUUAAGAUCAUUGUCGCUGAGAUCAUAUCGUCUGUGGAUAUAUUGUCUUAGGACUUGAUCUUGCAUGUAGGGAAAGACCUUAACUCUGUGGAGGAUGUCUGACGUUUGUUGCUCGAUUUUGAUGAGCGAGAAUUCGAUCUGUUUAGACCGAACAACUUCUUCCUUAACUUGGAGCAUUGGCUUUGGCUGCUGCAUCAAGUUAACUGCCUGCUGUUGUUGCUGAGGAGCCGUCUUCAAUGUGUUGAUCUGGGCUUCUAGCAUCAUGAUUUGCUCAUGCAACGCCAGAAUUUGUUCAUCUUUGUUAUCGAUUUGUCCGCUAACUUCGGCUAGCUGGGACCUAUAAGUCUUGCAAUUUGAGCAUGUUGAUGUGCUAGAGCUGGCUUCCUGUGGAGGAGGGUUAUCAAACUGAUUUUUGAUAGCCGGACUAACAAAGAACGAAUGUCCUUUGAAGUGUCGGUGAGCAGCAUCUUUGGCUUCUCCGAUGGUUGUGUACUUUUUACACAAUGGUUGAACUCCUGGAUGAUAAUUGUAUUUUAGGACUUCAGACCAUGAGGAAUAAAUUCCGGGCUUAUUGCCUGAGGUGACCAUAUAGAUCAUUUUUUCCUCUUUUUCCUGCACAAAAUAUUUUGUUAGUCCUGCCAUAGUGGCUGUAACACAUGUUUCUGUUUGAAUGAAUACCAAAGAUUAUCAAGGAUAAUCUUUUCGACUUUUGUCGGGCUAUUGCCUUCUGGUACUUGAUAUUCAAGUCCACAAUCUUGUAGGUUGAACAAUUCGGAUGUUCCGAUUGUUAUCUUCUUAGAUGCUUCAAAAACAUAUUGUUCUUGAUCUUCCUCGAAGCGAGGGCCGAGAUAAGGGGAUAUUCCUCUUCCUCGUCCUCUGGCUAUGGCCGGUUUAUUGCGCUGUGGCGCUGAUCUUUUGAUCUGAAAUAUUCCCUGUUGGGAUUGCAUUUUUCUCUCUCUUUCUAUAGGUGCUAAUGCACAAUAUUUAUAUAUUUAUAUAUUGGUAAUCCCUAUUGGGACCUUUAGGUUUUCUGGGUAGUGAGUGAGCGUUUCUUGCCAUGUUUGAGGAAUGUUUUGUUUUGUGGAGGUGAGUGAAGAGUGGUGUGAGAGGUUUGCUUAUAUAGCGAGAUAAGGUGUCGGCUAUGCCGUUUUCCUUACCCUCUAAGUAUUCAAAGUGAAUACGAUAACCUUUAGUCUGUAGAUUAAAGGCAAACUUUAACCAUCUCUUGAUUGAUGUUCUGCCACGAUCGAGAUUUGUGAUCAUGUUGUCGUAGAAUCUGACAAUGGCUUCACAGUCAGUUCGUACUGUAAUCUCGUCUUUUCCUAGUAAAAAAAUCUCGAACUUUUCUAAAGCUGAGUUGAUGGCUGACAUCUCAUAAGAAAGUGCCGUUAGUGCGGACUUUUCUUUAUGAUCUCCACUUGCGUAUCUGCAAAGUUAUUAUUGGCUUUUUGCACUGUAUUUGUUUGGCUGUCUAGUUUGUCUGGGAAUUCAAGGAUUUUUUGGGCUUUGUGAGGUUAGAGCUUUAUGGUACCGUUUCCAAUUUCUCCACCAAGAAAAGAGAUAUUUCUCUUGGCAAUUUCUAUCUUCUUUUUAGAGAUAAUGAUGCCAUUUUCUUUGAAUACUUGUAGUAUUCUUUUGACAUGAGUUUCAUGAUCUGCCCUGUUCCUGGAAAACACAAGAAUAUCGUCAAUAUAAACAACGGCGUACGUUCCUGGAAUAUAGCAGGAGCGUUUUUCAAUCCGAAAGGCAUGGCUAGCCAUUCGUAGUGACUUAUUGGCGGUGGACAUACAAAGGCAGUCCAUUUGACAGACUCUGGGUCCAUCUUUAUUUGGCAAUAUCCAGAUUUGCAAUCAAAUUUGGAAAAUCACUGAGCAUUCUGAAUUCUAUUCAGUAGAUGGUCUUUAUAUGGGUAUGAGGUACCCAUGAUUGAUGGUAUUAUCAUUCAACCUUUUGUAGUCGAUGACCAUCCCUGGCUUUUGCCUGACCUGCUCAGCAUGAUUAUUAACAAAGAAAGCUGCACUCCUAUGGGGUGACUGAGUUCUUUGUAUUACUCCUAGAUCCAGUAAUUCUUUUAUUUGGAUCUCAAACCAGUUUAUCUCUUCAUUAGAGGCUGGUAUGGCUUUUUCCGUAAUUAUGAGAUCAGGAUUUGCAGGAGUAAUGGUGCAAAUCGUUUUUUGUUGAUCCCAAAAUUUAAGAGGCUUAUCGCCAAUAAUCUCAAGUUGUUGUAGCUCUUGAAUUAUUUGAUCUAGUGAUAGAUCUGCGUAUUCGCAAUUUGCUAUUGCAAUUAGAUCACCAGUGUCUGGGAUCGGGAAGUAUUCUUCCGUAUGAAAGAAGUAGUCUUCUUUACUAGGUGGUAGACACAUUUGUGUGUAUUGCUUGUUGCAACUACCUUUAAUAGCACAAGUGCAUGGACUCUUGUCCUGACUACUGUCUUGGGAUUUUUCCCUUGCAUUUGUGUUAGCUGCUAUGGCAGGCUUGUUUUUGUGGAUGGCCUUAUCACCACCACGCUUUUGCUGAAAAUAUUCACGAAAUCGGUUAAAAUUUUCAUUUUCACCAACAACAGGAGUUGUUAUUGACUGAGGAAAGAUAGUAAUGUAAUCAUUACCUAUUAAGAGCUGUGCUCGGUUGUGAUGAAAUAUAUCACUUCCAAUAAUAGCAAUGAAUUUAUGCAUGGAUAAAUCUCUCGAUGCAAUAUCAAAUGCUUGUAAUUCAACUAAUUGCGUGCAAUUAUUUUGAAUUCUAUACGUCACUCUGUGAACGUAGUGUGUACUUGUAGUCAGAGUUCCAUCUACUUGUGCACCAAUUAUGGGUGUGUCAUAUUUACUAUGUAAAUAUAUCGGGACUAUUGUACUACAUAGUUUACUCUUUGAGCAACCUGUAUCUAUUAAUGCAAUACCAAUGUAAUUCCAUUUAUUUAUCCGUAGUUGUACUACAAUUAAUGGAACUGAAAUAGGUUUAUUGCAUGCAGUAAUUAUAUUACUGAUUUGAGUGAAUGAGGGUGUAGUCAUUCAGAAAGAUAAUCUAUUAUUUUAAUGGAUUUAUCUUUUUUAUUAUUAGGGCUAGGUUUAAGGGCCUCUAGUUGGGCUUCGACUAUGUCAAGCCGGACUUUAGUCAUUUCUAAUUGGUUAAUUAGGCUACGGACUUUGUCCUCUAAGGCUAAAAGGUGAACAUCUGUAGCUAAUGGGCUAGGUUCAUCUUUUGUCCUUUUGGUCUUAUCAGGGAAGAUAACGGGCUCUUCUAAAUUAGCGGCACAUAUUUUACAAAUAUUUUGCAAACAACUCAUGCACUGGGCUCUAUUCUCUGUUGAGGGCCACAAAUAUGGAAUUAAAUUGAGGAGCUUGAGCAAAAUACCUGUUGUUAUCUUGUGACGUUAUUUCGUCAUCGUCUUCAUUUUCUGAAGAGGAUUCUUCUUGGGGAAGUUGAUCUGCUAGAUCAAUGAAGUCUUGAGCAGUUAUACUUACUAUUGAGUAUACUGACUCAUCAUCUCCGAUGUCUUCAUCUACUCNNNNNNNNNNNNNNNNNNNNNNNNNNNNNNNNNNNNNNNNNNNNNNNNNNNNNNNNNNNNNNNNNNNNNNNNNNNNNNNNNNNNNNNNNNNNNNNNNNNNCAGCUUCUUGCCAUGUGACCUGUUUGUCCACAAGCAAAACAUCUAAUAUUGGACUUAUAAGUCCUCUCAGGUUUAUAUUUCCUAACAUGCUUUUGAGGAUCUAAAAACGGUUUCCGUUUAUUUGAUCUUCUAAGGCUAGCUAUAAGUUUUUCUUUUAGGAAUAUGAGGUCUAGAUGACUUCUUUUUAGCUUUUUGCUGUUUUCUGCGUGUAUGAUAGGAUUCUAUCGUACCAUAUUGUUGAGGUGUUAUAUAGAUAUUCCUACACCACUUAUGUCCAGUUUUUACAGUUUUCUGUAUUUGAAUUUCAGUACACUUCCUUUGGAGGUACUGCAUUAUAAACCAACACCUAUAGGGUACGCCAUCUACUUCAGAUGACUCUUUCUCUUUUAUGAAAUCCUUGAUUGAUGCUUUAUGAAUUUCUUCACCUAAAGCACCUGGUAAUUUCAUAAAUAUCUUAUCUUUGAUGAGAGGGUCAUAUAAUGCUUGAGCUUUGGCUGCUAAGGCAUAAUAAUCUAGUAGAAAGUAUUGGAAAUAAUACCAAUCAUUUAAAGCUAAUUGCUCUAAUUGUCUUAUAGAAGUAGAUUGUAUAAAUCUACUUCCCAUGUUUGAUGUUUGGGUCGUUACCUGUCAUAAGGUUACUUAUAGUAUUCACAAAGUUGAACUUUACUUGCAGCAUGAAUCCAAAUUAAGGCGGCCUUCACAAUACAAGAUUCUUUACACUUAAUAACAACUUCAACAAGAGAGGAAAAAAAGAGUAAUGCUGAAACUAUUAUUUCAUAUUUUUGAAAUAAAUGGAGUGUUCCCUGGACUUCCCACCAAAACAUGCAUCAUAUAAUUGUGGUCAACUUUAAAUUUGUUUAUGCUUAUUGAUAUAGACAUUUGAAUUCCAAGAAAUCAUUCCUUCCCAACAAUGGUUAAAUGAUCAUAUCUUAAUAUCAUAGAACCAGAUUAUCAAGUGGUGCAUUGAUUGUCCUAUAAACACUACCAACUAAUUCAUUUCCAAGACAAAAUAAAAAUCCAAAAGGAAAAGUUGAAGUAUGCCUUAACAGAACAACUGGAGAGGAGAGUUUUCAUUGAAGGUAGCUACAGCAAUGAGAAGGCCUCUUGUCAUAGGAGAUUGAUUUCACUUCUCUUAUCCACGACUCUUCCUUAGCCCACAAAGAAAAACUUAAACAAACUUCUGAGUUAUCUAAUAAGACAAACACAUGUGUAGGUUAUGUUAUUCAAGCAAAUCAAACCUUACAUUUUCCUCAACGAUGCUUCAAAACAUUUAAAUCAUGCUAAGAACCACGUCUUAAUAUUUCAUUUCAUGAUAAACUAGUAUAAACUUUUCUUGUGUUGUCUUUGUAUCGGCGACUUGUACAUCUUGCGUUUUCUUUUUCUAAACUGAGCAUACUUCAAAAAAUUAAACCGAAGAGGUAACCAAUAUCCAACACCAUGGAGGUAUUUAAUUUCCCCUAACCUUUCUUUUCCACUUUGCCAUUUGAAUUGAAAUCCAAGAAUCCAAUUUAGCGAACAAGACAAAACCACAGCCUAAAUAAAAGCAAAACAGUGAUUUCAAACUUAUGUUAUCUCAUCAAUACUUAGUGUCAUUCAAAACCUUAAAAAUCAAAAAAGCAAAAAAAGUUUCAGCUAAUUAAGCACAGCCUUCUGAUAAACCAAAAAAACAAAUCAUUCCUUUUUCCCUGCUUUCCUCAUCAACCAAACAACACCAAUCUCCAAAGAAACAAGCUCUUAAUAUUUACAAAGCACAAAACAUGAACAUGGUACCAAUAUCUACACUACAAAAGCUCAUAACUUUCCUAUCAUUACCUACACUACCAAUAAAAAACUGAGGGUGGGUUAACCGACAGUCAAGGAACCGAAAUGGUUUCCAUCCUUUAAUCUGCUCUUGAUAUCCCAGAAGCAGUUGGCUAUGGUCUGAAAGACCUCUAGGAAGACGCCUCAACAUCAGAUCGUUGAACUGAAGAUGACAGUCAGGAGACGAGAAUGCCCGAUCAAUACGGCUCGUUGAUCCCCCUCUAACGGAUAUUCAAUGAGAUUGCAUAUGGCUAGGAAAUUCUUUAAAUCCCUGCAUCCCACAUGAUUGACAUUUUCCUCUGGUAAAAGGGUUUCAUUGAAAUCUCCCAUAAGAAACCAAGGAACAUCAAAAGCAAACUUCAGAGUAAUAAGAUCCUUCCACAUUUUCUUUCUAUGAUGCACUGUGCUUGGAGCAUAGAGACCAACAACAGCACAUUCAAAACCAGAAAUCAUGUUUAACCCAUAUAAAGCAAUCCAACCCACACCAAGCUUUGCUGAAUUAACAUUGAAUUUUGAGUUCUCCCACAACAUUAGAAGUCCUCCCGAGCGUUAUCUAACAUGCAAGCUAGUCUAGGAAUAAGUCUUACCGUGAAAGAAUAAAAGUAUUCCUUUCAAAUAUGUGUACUUAAGCUUCAACGUUUUCAAUUUUAUUUCUCCUAUCAUUUCUAACAAGAAAUGAAGGCUGCCAUGUCCCUUAUAUGGAUCCGCGUGGGUUUAGGUUAGUGAUAUUCAGAGUAAUAUGGUGUGAGGUUGCAGCAUCUUGAUAUGAUCAAAUUGCUGGAUUAUACAAGUUCCUAAUAACAUUAUGAGCACUAGCUGUUGCGUGAUUAUAGAGAAGAAUUUUAUUAUUUUUGAAAAAAAAAAAAUAACAAAAGCUAAGGAUUCUUUUAUGGAAUAGAAGAAUUUUAUUUUGGUAUCUCAUAGGAAGAGCAAGCAAAAUUUGCUCUUUGUUCGACUUGAUCUUCACGAUUACGAUCAUACUACAAAAUUAUUGUAUUUAUUAUAAUAAAAUCAAGAUUAUAUUUUAGAGAUUCCGACAACCAACCAGAAGGAAAUUGAACCAGACUAGGAAGCAUGUUUUACUCUAACAUUGCACUGAUUGUUGGCCUAGUUUACAAAUUUUGACUCUAACUUUAGCUACACAGAUAAUGACUUCACCAAAAUUUCAAACAAUAUUUGAAGGUGGACGAACACCAAUAGUCGGUUGAUUAGAGAGUCAUACAGAUUGACAGUGUUUGGAUUUUUAGUGGCUGGCCAUUUAAUAACUAAUUGGGUUUUUUUAUGUCUUUUUCCAACUUUUAAUUUGAUUUUACCAAUCUCUAGGUUUUGUAACAAGUAAUUUCUUGUUCUUCUACUUUGGUCAUCCUUUAAAUGGUUACUUUAAUAUAUUCCUUGAUUAUCAUAAAAAAAAUAUUAAAGAUAUAGUUAAAAAUAAAUUAUGCUAUCUUUUAACCGAGUAUUUUUUUUAAUAUUAGUGAAAUUUGUCCAAAGAUAUCAAUCUUUUCCUUUGAAGAAUUAAAAGAUAACAUAGACAACUUCCAAGGGUACCAUACAAAAACAAAACUAAGAUCCAAUUUAAUAAUUUAUUGAAUUUUGAAGAAAUUUUAUUGUUUUUUUUGUAAAAAAAACAAAAAACAAAAGCUAAGGAUUCAAUUUAAUUUAAUUUUUUUUAUGGAAGAGAAGAAUUAUAUUAAUCAAUUGAUUUAGCCAAUAAGAGUAUUGCUAAACAAGAGAAGAAAAGUAACAAAACAUAAGCUAAAACAUUUACAAAUUAAACAUGAACCAAACAAACAUAAUAGAUUUCUCCAUUGUUUUCAUUUUGGUCCCCAGUUUUCUAAUUUUCCAUUUUUCAGCUAAUUUGGUGCUCAAUUUUAAUUUUCUUUUUCAAUUGGGCCUUAAUUCACUACCAGAAAAUCGAUAAAUAUAAACGGAAUUAUCGAGAGAAUAUUUCCCUCGGUAAUUUACUGACGGAAUUAUUCCCUCGGUAUAUACCGAGGGAAUUACAGUAGGAAAAAAAUAAUUAAAACAAAGCAGAAAAAACAAUGACCUGUCAUUUUUACCAACGGAUUUACCGACGGAUAUUUGGUAAACUGUGAACACUGUUCAUCAUGUCAAUUACAAAGGGAAUCACCGACGAAAAAGUAUGUCGGUAUUUUACAGAGAGCUCUAAAACUAUUCACUUUUCAAUUGCACUGUUAAUUAUUGUUCUUUAUAGACAAAAUCACUGACGGAUUGAAAAGUCGUCGGUGUUAUUUGGCGGUUUUUUAAAAAUUUAGAUUAAUUUUAAAUUUUAAAUUAAAUAUCACCGACAGAUUGAAAAGUCGUCGGUGAUAUUUGGCGGUUUCUGAAAUUUUUUGAUUAAAUUAAAAUUUUAAAUUAAAUAUUACAAACAGAAUCACCGAUGGAAUAAUUAAAAAUAUUAAUAUUUAAUUAUCCGUUGGUAAAACGCCUCAAUAAAAAGCCUCGAACCCCUAAUUUCACAGCAGACCCGUUUCCUUUCUUCUUCUUCUUCUUCUUCCCCAUAUAUAAAAAACAUCAAUAUCCAUUUCUUUUUCUUCUCUUUUCUCCUCAACUACUUCUCUUCUCCUCCAUGCUCAGGUAUGUCUUCUUAUCCUUUCUUCUUUUUUCCUCUCAGUUUUUUUUUAAUUGGUAUACUUUACAAAUUUGUUUUUUUAUCUCUUCUUAACUUCACUUGCAACUACAUUAAGGUAAGAUUUUUCUUUUUUCUUCUUUUUUCAUGUUUUAUUCAUUAUAUUUGUUUUUCAUUUUAUUUUUAAUUUUUUUUGUUCCUAAUAAUUGUAUGAAUGUUGUUGUAGGAUUUUUUUUUUCAUAUGAGAUAAAUUUUUAGUUGAUUUAUUUAUAGGAUUUUUAAAUUUUUUUCAUAUGAAGUUUUUUAGUUGAAUUUAUUUUUUCAUGUUAUUUAUUUGUUGCAAAUUUGUUUGAGUUGAUUUUAUUCUUCUUUUUUCCAAGCAUUUAUAGAGUGUUGAUUUAUUUAUAGAGUGUUGAUUUAUAUUAAUUUAAUUAUUUUAUAGUUUGGUAAAAUAGAUUUUUUUAAAAUAUUUUUAAAUAAUUACCGACGGAAUUACAUACGGUAUUUUACUGAGAGAAAUACCGACGGAAUGAAGCGGAUAAUAUUUUUUUUUGCCUACUGUUUCCGUCGGUAAAUCCAUCGGUAAUAAUAUUUUUUUAUUAUCAAUGGAUUUACCGACGAAAAAAAAAUUACCGACGAAACAUUUCCGUCGGUGAUUUCAUUGGUAAAUUAAUUACCAACGAAAUGAUAGUGCAAAUACCGACGGAAAAAUCCGUCGGUAAAUAUAAAGAUUCUGGUAGUGAUUGAUUUUCUAAAUUGACUAUUUGUUUCAAACUCAUCCUUAAACUUUCAAUUCCUUUCAAUCUGAACCAAAUUAAACAAAUUUAAUUUCUUCAAUUUCUUCUUCAAAUCAACCAUCAAUUAUAACCUGAAAUUUCUCGAACUCAAUUUUUACUUGUGAUACUCAAUUAUUGAUCCGAUUUCAACCAUUAAUUUUGUUUUAAUAUUUUUCCUUUUAGACUUUUUUGUAUUUUUUUUCAUUAUUAUCUGUUUUGUAUUUAUUAUGAUUAUUUCAAGCCAAAAAUUAAAAAUUGAUUAAAAUUGAUUAAAUUUUCUGAAAAAACAUGUAAUGUUUUUUAUGUAUUUAUUUGAAAUAAAAAUGAAGGGUCAAAAUUUGAGUUCUAACACUAGGAGUGCUCCGAUGAUGGGCUUUUCCCUUUUUUUUCUUGAUUAUUUCUAAUCAAGUUCUGUAUUUUAGUUUUACUAUUUAUAACUGUAUAAGUAUUUGGUUUUUGGUUUUUAUCAGUAUUUAUUUUAAUAUUUAUAUUUUUAUGAGUGUUUAUUUUGCUUUAUUCUGUCUUUCAUGCUCUAAUGAGUUUUUAAUCUAGCUUUAUGUUUUACUGAAAGUAAAUUCAAACCCUAGGUUUUUAUUUUUGAUAGUUGCAUGCGGCUGGUAGCUAAAGAUUCUUCAGAGUCUAUAUUUUGAGUUUUUUUUUUUUCUGGGUCUUCACAGUUUCUUACAACUUUUGAGCAUGGUUUGACAAGUGAAUUUAUAUAGGCCUAGAAUCAAGUUUGAUUUUAAUUCCUUUAAUUUUGAUUAUGGAUUUUUGCUAUAGAUAUGGGCUCCAAGUCCAAAUUCCUAAUUUUAAUUCCUUAAUUUUGAUCACAAUUUCUCAAUAACCUUCUCUAAAAUUGGUUAGAAAAAGUCUAACAACCAAUUCACAAUAUCAACAUAGAAGAGUGAACACACCAUAAGACGAAAUAACGAAUUCUCAUAGGCUAGAAAACAAUUCUUUUUCAUAAUCGCUUAAACGACAAGGGUAAUAGCAUGAUGACUUUACUAGAGAUUGGAGAGUUAAGUUCAUGUUUAUGUGGUUUAUGAGAAUUUAUUAUGCAUCUUUUAAUAUNNNNNNNNNNNNNNNNNNNNNNNNNNNNNNNNNNNNNNNNNNNNNNNNNNNNNNNNNNNNNNNNNNNNNNNNNNNNNNNNNNNNNNNNNNNNNNNNNNNNNNNNNNNNNNNNNNNNNNNNNNNNNNNNNNNNNNNNNNNNNNNNNNNNNNNNNNNNNNNNNNNNNNNNNNNNNNNNNNNNNNNNNNNNNNNNNNNNNNNNNUAGUAAAUUAAGUAAAAAUUGAAAAGACUUUUUUAAUGAAUUUUUAAUAUUAUUAUAUGAAUAUUUAUAAUAUUAAAAAAUAUUAUUUGGAAUUUAUAAUAUGUGCUGGUGACUGUGACAAUGACUAAUUAAAGUCACGACAGAAAAAAAAGCCAGUUGUUUGCGUCCAAGAGUCGGGCUACAUCACGACCUCAUUAAUUGGUCAAGAUUAAAUUCAUGGGAUGGUACGUGGAAAUGGAACUACGUAGCUCGGGAAAGUAACUACAGAGGUGAUGGACAGCAUCUAACUAUUAACUAAAUUGUAUACAUGCUAUAGUUAAUCUUGUGUCCAAGCAAAAAACGAGAUCCGUCCUUCUCUUGAUUUUGGUGUCGUGAUUAUUGACAAGGAAAAAAAAAGAUGGAAGUGUUUUAGCCUUGCGUUUCAAAAGGAAAAAAAAAGAUGGAAGAAAAAAAAAAAUAGAUGUUGGAGUGCAAAACACCUCAUGCUGUGAAAGUAAUUCUUAGUAUUGAUUGAUGGGAUAUCCUCAGUCAUGCUACUCCCUCCUUACGUGCCCAUUCUUUUAAAAUUCUUGAAUUUUUAUACUUUUAUAUCAAUAUUAUAAUAUUAAAAAUAAAAUUUUAAAAAUAAAAUAAGCAAAAACUAUCAUAUAAAAACUCAUGACCGCACUUGAGGUCAUGGUCUAACAGAGACAUGGAUUUGUUUUUUUUAUACUCGGGUUCAAUUUUUUCUGUAUAUAUUUGUCAUCCUCGUGGUGUUUUUUACUUGUCUAUUGGACUUGCAGGGUAUUUAAUGGACCCGAAAAUUAAUCGUGGUGCGCGUAAGCUAUCCCGAAUACCCAGAUUAUAUAUAAAAAAAAUUUCACGACCUCAUUAAUUUGGUGACUUCUUAGAAAGGAGAUUAAAUUCAUGGGAUUGUACGUGGAAAUGGAACUACAGAGGUGAUGGACAUUAAAGUUGAAAAUGAUGAGCGUUCUCGGCAGCCUAAUUUGAAUUUUUGCUAGUCUAUAUUUUUGAAAUCUCACUACAUAGACUAUCAUUUCAAAGUAAAUAUAUUAUUCGAACCGAUUGCCAGGACAGGAAAUCUCAAACCAUCGGUACCUAUGGAUUACAAACCCUAUUUUAGUUUCCACUACUGUUUAAAUAGCCAUAUUUUUAAUAAAAUCAAAGAUUAUUAAAAAAAAAAAAAACCUUAUUGUAGUGCUACCCUAAUUUGGUAAUGAAGAUCUAUUUGUAAGACAGACAACAAAAAAACAUUUUAUGUUUGGCAAUGAGAUUUCACAAUCAAUAAGGAGCUAUAUAGGAGAUAUUACAAUAUGCUCUAUUGCGAGCUCAGAAUCAUGCUAUAGCCAUGAGCACUGCACAAGUGCUCGAAAUUAGACAUUGUGCAAGAGAUAACAAAGUUUCGCCUUAUUGAAGCACACAAACCUACAAACUAAGAAGAAAAAACGAAGGCCAAGGAAAACUUGAACAUGAAUCAUGCGGCAGUAGUACUGGCAUACAAUGGUGACGGUGCUUGUGUGGCUGUCAUGGCAAAAAAAACAUACUCAACGGAAGAGUUCUUUUUGAGGAAGGAGAGCCAAGUAUACUGCGAUGAAGGUGGAGGCAACUUUGAUGUUAUUAACUACGUUGUGGUGGUGGAGGGUAACGAGGGCUACCAUAGGUAUGUGGUGGUGGUGGAGGAAGACUAGGAUGAUGGCCAUCAUUGACUUUUGGUGGUGCUGGUGUUCGUGGAGGAGGAGGAGGAGAUUUUGGAAAAUAAGGCUUAAUUGUUGGUGGUUUUGGCUUUGGAUGAAUACUUUGAUUGGGUGGUGGUGGUGAUGGUGGUGGUGGUAAUGGUCGUCGACGUUGUAACGAGACAUUAACCAUGCAACUGGUUUGUGAUACUAACAUCCCAUGAAAAAUGAUGAAUGCCAACAAGUAGGAAUAGAUUUCCAUUGCUAUUGUGGCUGCCUGCCUAUGUCGAAACUCAAGAUGAUAGUGCUUUUUAUAGGAAGAUGAUCAGGCAUGCAGUUGUUGUUGGUAAUUAAUUUGGACAAAG
rnacentral:lncRNA from 1 species